rnacentral:lncRNA from 1 species
UUGUACUUUAUCUUUUUACCCGCACAUGUAUGUUGGACCACCACUAUGACUGCAGCACUCAAAUACUCGAUAUUAUAAAUUUGUUAUUAUAUACUAUCGACAGUUUAUUCAAUUUCACAAUGAAUAAUAUCUUUUGUCAUGAGCCUAAACAGCAAUUGAAUAAAGAUAAGAUUUGGAUAGAGCAAAUUAUCUAAAUACAGAAUGAAAUAAUUAAUAUAAUUCAUGCAAACUCAUGCUGAAAAACAUCACCUAUGUAAACUAGUCUACAUGUAAUACUUGUCCAUCCAGCAAGGAAUAUUAAAGAAAGCAUCAGGGAAAAGUUGAGUUGGGUCUCAUCAGAAACAGCCACAUCAUUUCUUUUAGCUAGAGAUCCCAACAACUACUAAGUUUAUUACAGCUGGUUAAUGCAAACCAAAAUGGCUGCUUAUGUAAGUAGUACUAUAAUACAUGGAACACAUAAAUCUAUGAAGACAAUAGUUUUACUAGGAGCACAUAAGCCAAGACUUUUAAUUUCAAGUCUCUUCUUAUACACAAGAAAUUAUUAUAUGGUCCAAGACUAUGUUGGUCUCAGUCAAUCUCCAUGUGACAUAUUAUUUUCGUGAAUUAAAAUAUGUAGUUACAUGUCACGCAGAGAAUGUCCAGGACCACAUGGUCCUGAAACAUGUAAUGAUUUCUCCUUAUACACCACGCCCGAGCUUGUUACGUAUCUUACUGAUAUAGUCAGAAGCCAAUCCAUCAACACACUGCUCUUUCUUUGGAUUAACAUCACCAGGGACUCUCUCUUGAUAAAUCAAAUGUUCGGUUGAUCCGAUGCUACCAGCUGACUUGAUCACAUAUGUGGGGUUGGCGCGGCUCUGUGGCUGUUGUGACCUUUUGCUUGCUGCUGGGAACUGAUCAGGAACAGCAACCAGUGGUUCCUCAUCAGGGUCCAUAUCAGACCCUGGACCAGCCUUUGUUGUACUGGUAGCUCCAAGAGUCUUCUGAGCAAUAGAGAAAGAGGAAAACCUAAUGACAUUUACUACAACCUGCAUCGAUUUCUCGCAAAGAGACAUCUCACUCUUGGACUUAAUUCUAUCCAUGAUUUUUGGCUUAACAAGUCCUUGGUGUCUCAAAAUAGAUGGUUAAUACAACAUAAAAGGCAAGCAUGGUCUAUUUAUAAGAGCAUAGGAUGUAGAUGGGUGAAUUGGUCUUUUUGGCCUUUUUUCUGGUUUCGUGUAAACCCUCAUCCAAAUAUAUCCUAAUCUAGCUAGCUUCUUUAGUGGGUGGAUCCCUUGCUCGUUCAGUUAAAUGAAGGUUCUUUUGGCAAAGAGUAGAGCCCACGUAAGACAGAAUCUUGUUGCGUUUCUUGUCUGUAUGAUGAGUGAAAGCAUGUAGUAGCACAUACAACAUCAAUAAUUGGUUUGGUGAGUUUGGUCCCUGGUUGCACCAUUUGUAAAACCAUUAAGAUUCUGUGUUUUAUAAAAUUAUCAACAGGCAAAAAGUAGAUUUUAGUGAUAGUGCAUAUGUGGCCAGAGAUUGGGGAGAUGUAAUUAAGAAUUUACCCUGUUCUUAAAUCAUUCACGUAGUUCACAUGUUGCGGAGGCUUUAUAUUUUAUUAAUUAAUAUAUUUGUGUUACUCAUAGUCUAAAGUCGUGGAGGUAUAAGAUUCUUUGAGACUGCUUCUCUCAUAGUUUGUUUCUUAAUGUUUUGUCUUUACAUUUUAAAUAACGAUUGCUCUCACCUUACUAGUGACGCUUUUGUGGAAUCAUUUCAUCAUGUUUAUCUGACUCUACUUGUCAAACAUGCAGUGAUGGAAGAAGGAGACCCAUCUUAAACAACCACAAUAAGGCAUGACCUUUUUUUAUUAGACAGAAGUUUUUAUAGAUACUGUUAUUUAGUGUGUUCCUACUUCUUACUUCCUACCCCCCAAAAAAAGUGCGCUUUUGCAGGGAAGUAAACACAACCGAAGACAUUGCUGCCAACAACUAUCUAUUUUUCUAAAUCUUAUAAAUAGAACAUUUGAUAGCUACGUGUUCAAUAGCUCACACAAUUACAAAUACAUAAGUAGGAACAAUGAUAAAAUGCAUCAACCUGUCAGUUGUGUUGCUGCAAAAAAUAGGACACAAUACAAUUUGAUGCGUGCAACUCUUCUAGAUAAAUAGUAGUAAGUCAAAUAUGCUAUACCCCUUCAGCCUCUUUUGGGCCCUGGCUAGUCAAAUAUAUUAAUGUUGACCUGAAUGGAAGGCAAAGAAAUUCAAAUCUUUUACCUUUUAAGACAAGAACUAAACCAAACUGCACAAACAUGAAAGGCCACAUCAGAGCCACUAAACAUUCUCUAUUCUGUGCAAUGAGCAUUACAAUUUACAUUUAAGAGUUAACUCUGAAAACGGAUUGGAAGGCACCUUUGUGCGAGAAGAUUUGGGUUACUUGUCUUAUUCAGGUCAUAUCUUGAUUCAUUCAUCCAUGUACAAAUUUCCUUCUUCAAUCUAGUGAUCUAGAUGAAAGCCAAGGGUUAGGUGCUACAUAAGUAUAGCCCUGGAAAUGGUCACCUGCUGUAGGUGUGGGUGCUGGCGAGUCAUCAGCAGGCAUUGCUGUCCAACAUUGGUCAAAAUUAGAUGUACAAUCUUUCGCAGACACAUCUGGUUUGAACUUCGGUUCCAGUUCUCUUGCCUCCAAUUUUUUCCAAUUGAUUGACCUAAACCAUUUAUGACUUUUGAUAUGGCCAUCUCCAUUUGGCCCAUUGCCUAACCUUGUCGAUGGAUCCUUUUGUAGCAACUGUAACAAGUAAACAGAAAUGUGCAGUUUUUAGCAUUGGGCCCCUCUGUCUCUCUCCUUACGAAGGCUUUCUUUUUUCAUUUUUAAUCUCAAACACAAAAAUAUUUAGAGAACAUCAUGUCCCAGAGCAGGAACUUUGCCUGUAUCCCUGCAUUCUCCUAUGUUCUUUUUCAUAUCCUUUGAAUGUUCACGCUUUGUAGCAAAAUAACAUCUACAAGAAUGUGGUCAUCAAUGUUUUUCUUUUUCUAGAACUUGAAAUUAUAUAAGGAAAAGUGGUUAAACUCAUUGUGCAAAUGCUUUUACUACAUUUAAUUUUGUACUUAAAGAAUUACUUUUCUAAGCAAGAUGAUCCCAUCUUUGCAGGCUAACCUGGAAAAACAUUAGAAAAUUACCGAUUCACAAACAGUUGCAGGGAAAUCAUGGUACAUUUUUCCUACUAAUUUUUAUUAGAAUAUUAAUAUCAUUUAAAAUUUAUGAUUUAUUUAAAUAAAUAAAAAAACAAAUGCAAGUGAAAUCCAAGUAGAUUAACAAUAGACAUCAGGGUCCAUUAACAUACGCAUGAAAUAAAACAGAUCUGCGUUUGAGUUUAAAAAUGUUUUGAUAAAUACAAUGUGUUUACAAAUUAUAGGAUUUGUAAUUUUGAAAAGGAGAAUUUUGAAUUAACAUAGAAUGGUUUUCAGAAAGAUACAAAUCGCAAUAUGCCUUUGAAUAUGGUAUUUGGUUGACAUAUAUUUAGUUUCAUUUUGCAAAGCCACAAUUCAAUAAGUCAAUAUAGUAUAAAUGUUAAAUUUAAAAUUUUAAUAAAUAUAACUAUCCAAAUAGAAUGUAGAUAGGAUCACUUUUGGAGUAAAGUAAACCCUGACAUGAUUUCAGCAAAAAAUCAUGAAAAAAUAGAACAUUGGCAUACAGAAAGGAUACCAAAGAAAUAUUAAGGCAGUGAAUUCAGAAAUCUAAACUAUAAAACCUUUAUGCCAUGUUUAGGAAACAAGCAUUUUAUACUUGUAAGUUGUAAGUAUACUAUAACAGGAUAGGAGAGUGUAGAGAAACAAAAAGGACGAAAACCAGUAACUGUUGUCUACUUACUCCUUUGAGCAAAGAGUGAGCUUCACUGGUAAGGAAUGGUGGAAGUUUUACUUUCUCUUUAAUAAUUUUCUCCUGAAGUUUCUUUCUGUUAUUGUGUGUAAAUGGUGCCUGCCAAAUAAAACUCACAAUCAAGAAAAACUGAAAGUACACACUUUGUAACAUAGCAAAAUCCCUUGGUAUUGGUUAAGAGAGAUUCUGCAAAGUGGUGCUAGGUUUCCUAAAGUAGGGAGCCUUCAAAUGCUGAUAGCUUCAACUUGUGCUCUUAUAUAGAAAAGAAAUGAAAUAGAAAAGGUUCCUAAACAGCAAAUAAACAGAUUCAUUCACAUACCAAUUUUGGAAAUAAAAAAAAGAAGAUUGAUUCCCAAUAAGGUCCAUGUUGAUAAAAUGCAGUUCACAACUGUUCAUUACCCUAUAAUUUGAACUUAAAUCAACAAGGUAAAAUUUAGAGUUACAUGCACCUGCUGACUCUACAAUCUUUUCACCUUUUCCCUCAUUGCAUGGGCAACUAAGCCUGCCCAAGACUUACCUAUCUUGACUCCUAAUGUUCUCUAUUCAAGACUUGAUUGCCAGAGACAUAAUGGAUUCUAAUCAUGCAUAUUGUUAUUGUAUACCCACAUAUAAUUCCAAAUAUUCAACUUCGGUUACCUACAAACAUGCACACUCACACGCACAACCAAUUACAGAUAAAUGAUGAAAGAUAUGGCAUUACCUUCCCUGUUAGCAUUUCAUACAACAGAAUACCAACACUCCACCAAUCUGCAUCCUUAUUAUGGCCUUUAGCCAGUAGGAUUUCUGGAGCCAUGUAUUCUACAGUCCCACAAAAAGAGUUGGAUCUCCCCAAUUCAUUAAUCUCUUUUGACAGUCCAAAAUCAGUUAGCAUGACCUAUACAGGCAGAGCAAAUAUUAAAGUUGAAUAAUACAACUCAGUCUUUCAAGAUAUUCUAACAGUGAACUUGACAUAUCAGGAAGAGAGGAGUGCUAACAAUACAUUUUCUAAGUCGCUCCUCCUAACACACUUUCUAUUAUUAGUUAAAAUUUAUUGAAAAAUCACAAAAUCAUAGGUGAAACUUAUUAAAUAAGAUGCAGGACCCACAAAAAAUCGUGAUUUCUAAUAAAUUUCAGCAACGGUAAAAAGUGUGUUGCUAACAUUUCUUAUCAAGAAGAUAACCACACAGGUUCAAAUACAUAUAUAGAAAAUUCAAAAUGUUCCUGCAAGAAAACAAAGCAUUUGGGGUACUGGCAUUAUUACAUGCCCAUCAGCAUCCAUAAGAAUGUUUUCGGGCUUAAGAUCUCGAUGCACGAUGCCGUUUUUGUGAAGGUGUGAAACAGCAGACACUAUCUCAGCAGUGUAAAGCCUUGCCUGAUCCUCACUACUCAACACAUACACAAAACCAAAACCAAAGCCAUAAUUAAAAUUAAAAUUCUUUUAAAUACGUAGGUUGCAAUACUUAACAGUUAACAUGAUGAAGAAAAAGAUACCUGAAGAUACCCUGACGAUACAAUUGAAAGAAGAGAUGCCCUCCAUUUAUGAAGUCCAACACCAAAUACAACUUAGAUUUGGUCUGCACAUAAACACAUAAUAAUAACAAAUUCAUUAAGUGUGUUUAUUAGUGGUUGAAGCGAGAAGGGAUGAGGGAGUGGGUUGUACUAACAAAAACUAACAAUUAAAAUUAUUUGCGGAUAAAAAAAAAAUUAUUUAUUGUAUGAAUGGAAUUGAAUUGAAUUAGGUUAGAGACCUGGAAAGAGUAACGGAGCUGAACGAUGAAAGGGUGAAGGACUUUGGUGAGAAUAUCCCUCUCGGCUUUCAUGUAAUCGACGUGGUUUUUUUUAAUGAUGGUGUCUUUCCUCAUCACCUUCAUGGCGAACACGCCAUCAGCGUCGUCGAAGCAAUCACCUUUUUUUCUGACGAGAAAGACCUUCCCAAAGGCACCCUGUCCUACAACACGAAGAAUAUGGAAAUCGGAAGGUCCAAUUUUUGGGGGGUCGGGACCAAAUGGUAAUUCUUCUUCUUCUUCUUCUUCUUCUUCUUCUUCGAGGAAGAAGAGAGGGGUGGAGGAAGGGACAAAGCGAGGAGAGGGGCCCACGAAGGAGUGGGACCUACUGAAAAUGACGUGUGGGCUUGAUGGGGAUGGAUUUGGGGAAGAAGAAGAUGAAGGGAUGAUGAGCUUGCUCAGGUUCUUCUUCUUCUCGAACGUCGACACCAUUUUGUUUAUUUUCAGUUAGUCGGUUUGGUUGGUUAUGUGAGGGAGAGAAGAGAAGAGGACGAUGCAGAUUGGUUACAUUGCACUUUGCAAUGGCAGUGGAACUUGGAGUUGUUGGAAGGAUGGGUCCACUCCUGAGAUGAUCGCAUCAAUAAUUGAUGUUUACUUCUGGUUCUCAGCCAAUAGAUGAUUUUAUAAACAAAUCGAAAUUAAAGUUAGCUUUUUCUUAUCAUAAUUUUCUACACCAACCCAUCCAUAGUUACCCUAGCCAUUUGCCCAUCUCGACCUAACAACAGUUCUCUUUCUCUUUGUAUCUAAAGACUAAAAUCAUAGCAAUUAUAAAUCUAAACAUGCCAAAGUUGGGGAUUAAGACACACAUGGAAAGGCAACCUUUGUAUCCCAAGUAACAAUUAUUGGAUGCUGCAAAUUAACACAAAAAUUAGAAAAUUGUUGUUGUUUUUAUCUUUUAUUUAUUUUUCUUAACAAUGGUGGCAAAAUUAAAACCUAAGACAUUAUACAAUUAAACAUUUUUUUCCCAUAAUUAGGUCAAUCCUAACUGUUUCUUUAUUCUUUUUUUUAGUGCUAGUGUAUAGGAAUGUUAAAAUGAACUUUAGCAUUUGUCCUUAUAGUCUUACUACAUUUUGGUUUUGGUGCUCUUCAUCUUUUUCAUGAGUGUUAUUCGAGACAAAAGGCAUUGUUAUCGACAACACAAUUAUGAUGACUCUAGAAGGAAAGAUGAUAAUCUUGUAUACCCUUGAUUGAAUAUUUAUGUAGUCCAUUGUUCUCUAUUGCCCAUGCAUGAUGAACGCUUAUACACUAAUGUUGAGUUUGACAAGAUGAAAUGGAGUGAAUGGACCCGAACAGAUAAAAGACAAUGUGUUUGGUAGAAUAGAUUAACAAUAAAUUUUUUAAUGGAUCCUACAUAAAUAGUUUCUUGUCACCUAUGACGUGAGAGAAUCCAGACUAUUGAUGCAAUGACUUUUGUAUCAUUUUAUCUUCAACAACCAAAUAAUCUAACAUUCCAUUUUAUUUUUACUCUAUUUUUCUUUUUUCAAAUUAUUUCUUUCAUUUUUAUUUAUUUUAUUUGGCUUCUCUCUACCAAACACAAGACAUAAGGAUCCAUCUAUCAAAAAUACUCACAAGACCGUUAUUCAAAAUAGGGACAUGUGAAAGGAGUUUAGGAAUAAAACCAAAGAUCAAGUGUAUGGAUUAGGAUUUAGGAACCAAAAUUGAACCUUUAUUUUUUUUUUCAUUUGCCUUAUUUUAAGUAAAACAUUUACUCAUCCAGCCAAAAAAAAGUAAAACAAUUACUUAGUCCUUGAAAUUCAUAUCAUCAGUGAAUUCAUUACUCAAUAUAAUUAGACUUCAUAUAUAACAAAAAUCCUAAGCCUGUAGUAAUCCAAGUUCACCCUUUUACUAGAUCCCGUAUAGCCAAUUUUAAGGAUCUGUUCAAACUCUUUUUCAUGUGAAAAAAAUAAAAAUACUCAGAUGGCUUCUCCAUUCUAAAGUUAAAAGGCUAGAGAGCCCCCCACAAGAGAUUAACAUUGUACUUUCAUGGAUUGUUGCUACUCGCACCCAGCAUAUUUGCCCUUCCAUAAGCCUCAUAAACAUGUGAUUUUUGUGUUAUUAACACGAUAUUUUAACCAAUUGAACUAAUAAAUUAAUUACGUUAUAAAAUAAAUAAUAUCACUAUAUAUAAUAUUAAAAUUUCUAAUAUAUAUUUAAUGUACAUAUAAAUUUAGAUAAUAAAUUUUGUAAUAAUUAAUUUCGAUCUAAUAAUUAAUUUGUUUACACAUAAAUUUUAAAUAAAAAUCAUAAAAAUUCAUAUAUGUAAACAUAUUAAUUAUUAUAUUAAAAUUAAUUAUUAUAAAAUUUAUUAUUUAAAUUUAUAUACUCAUUAAGUAUAUAUUAUAAAUUUUAGUGUUAUAUAUAACAACAUUAAUUAUUUUAUAACAUAUUUAAUCUUUUAGCUUAAUUGGUUAAAGUGUCUUACAAAAGAACAAAAUGAGAAUUAUACAAAUUAUGCUAAGUGUACCAACAAUUAUUAUGCUAAGUACACCAACAAUUUGCAUGAUGCCCGUAGAACAGUCACUUCCAUGGCAUCAAUAACAAAAGUAAAAAAUCAGAUCCAAAAUGAGUCCAAUGUACCGCAUAUUUACAUCUCAACAUCCGCCUUCAUUCAUUUUAACAGAUUAGUACGGCGAACUGAACACAAUUGAGUCACAGAUUCUAAAAUCGAUAUUCAUUCCCAACUUGAAAAAUUGCAGCAACUUAUCAAUGUACUAUAUUUUCCCCCACUUUUCCUGUUCCAUUAAAUUACAAUUGUAUACCAUGUAACCUCCGCCCCCCAAGAAUGAAAACCGGGACAAACAUCACUCACCAAUCCCACAUCUCAAGAAUAAAAAGAUACAACACCCCAUUUAAUUUCUUCCGGCCAACACAACAGAGCAUGCAGGGGCAAACUCUCCUAAAAAAUUGGAGAAUGAUAAUGGAUAAAAAAAAUGAAUAUAAAAGAUAGAUAAUACACAACCAACUAGCCUAACCAACAGACAGGACCUAAACAAAAUGGUCCUCUCUAUCACAGGCAUUUACCAAUCCUCUAUGAUACAUUCACCAUAUUCAACUCAAGCGGUCUCAAAGCUUCUUGAACUAUUUCCUGAACUGCCCGGUUACGUCGACAAACAUCAGACAGCUCUUCAACAGGAACAGUAAGUCCAUUAGUAUCCCCUCUGGAUGCUGCAUCAGAAAGAGCUUUUAAGAAUCUUGAUCGCUCUACAUCUGUAACAGCUGUUGAUGGAAUUAACAAAACACUUUUUUUUGCCCAUUCCAGUGCUUGCAUCCCAUAUGAUCGAGUUAAUGCCAAGAGUGUAUAAGAUACCUGUGGGAGGUGCAGAUGCACACAAAUUAAAGAGAUAGUUGGACUUCAUCCUGUCAAAAAUGUGAAUGAAAGAAAAUCAACGUUGACUUGAGAAAUUACCACAUCCACUCGAGAUUUAGGAAGUGCUCCCGUUAAUGAAGCAACCAAAAUUCUGGUGAUGCUGGCACCUCGAGGAAUAAUUACACUAUCUCUUAUUGGUAUAAAUUGCUCCCCCACAGAGGAAUUCGCAAGAUCAAAAAUGUCAGCCAAGAAAUGCAAUAUGGAAUUGGAAGCCUCCCUGCAGAGGAGGAAAAUAGCAAAAAGGGUAAACAGCCACACUACAUAGAGGAAGCCAUGGAGCAGCAUGAAAAUUUGUUAAAAGAUUUUUUGCCUCUACAAUAAAUAGUAAACAAAAGGAUCAAGAAUGCACGUAACACCCUGUCAAAAGAAUGGAUGAUGCUUUCAAGUUUUUUCUUUUUGUUGAGUGUGAAAGAGAGAUAGAGAGAGAUUGUACCUAUGCUGUACUGUGAUCCCAAUCAUAGAGCAAUCAACUAAUGAAGGAAAAACAGACGAGGGAAUAAACAGUUGAGGACAGUAGCGAAUACACCUUGAGGCCAACAAAAAACAAUCAUCUGCUAUAUCAGGCCGGGCUGUGAAUUCCUGCAGCAAGAAAUAAAAUCAAACAUCCAAACACAAUCAUUAGAUCUGAAAGGAAGGGCUACAGCAAAGUCACUUAAAUCACACCUGAAUAUUUGUGAGAAGGCGUGUUGUGUGCUGGAAGAGCGCCUCAAUCAAAUUUUUCAGGUAGUCAGCACAAGAUGGAUCAGAACCAAAUAUCUGAAAUGCAAGACACCAACCAUAAAAGUAAUGGGAACUAGUUCAUUGAUCACACCACAAAGGGGAAGGGGAAGGAAUUUGUAGAACCUAUAGCUGAUGAUAAUUUUUUAUACAGCAAGAAAUUUUAUUAGGAAAAAUAUUAGGGGAGUAAAUUAGUUGAGGAAACAAAGUCCACAAAGAAGCAAGAAUAUACAAGGGGAAAGAUGGAAAUAGGUAAAGCUCGUUUUUAUUGAUAUCUCAAUCAUAGAGAAAAAGCAUACAAGUAGAAUAAGAAACUGGGGGUAAUGAGAAGUACAUCUAUCAAAACUCCUUUUUAAUUUAAAAUAAGAAAUUUUAUUAGGAAAAGAAACUGCAGGAGUAAAUUAGUCAAGAAUAUGAAAUCUUAAAAGAAGUAAGAACAUACAUGUAAUAAAGAAAGGGAGAGAGAGAGAUAAAAUAAGUAAAGAACAUUUCUCCUGAUAUCUAUCUAUCAAAGGGCUCUUCUCUCUUUACUGAUAGAAAUAUAAAAGAAGUUCAAAGAUUGCAGCACAAAUCUACAAUUCUCUGGAUACUAACUAAUAGAGUUUGGGAAACUCUAAUUUCUCAUUGAUCAGAAAAUGAAAAGGCUAGUUACAAAGAAUAUAGUCAUCUCUAUAUAUAUAGAGAGAGAGAGAGACUUGAAGUCUAGCCAUAGACUAGCCCUAUUUGUUACAAACUAACUCUGGUUAGAGCUAUAACAAACUAUGAGUUAACUGACAGCUCACAGAUAAUAGAAAACAAAAUAUACAAAGUAAAAACACUUGACGGAAUAAGUAUACUCCAAUACUCCCCCGCAAGCUCAUGGUGGGUGAUUCUGAGCAGAAGCAGAAGAAUCACACACUGUGAGCUUGGUUCUGUACAAAUCAAAGUGAGUAGGAGACAGAGCCUUGGUGAGAAUAUCAGCAUAUUAAUCAAGGGCAGGAACAUAGACCACUUUCAGCAACUUGCUAAGGACCAAUUGACAAAAAACAGAUCAAGUUCCAUGUGUUUGGUUCUAGCAUGCAGAACAGGCUUAUGAGCAAGAGACACACUGCUCAUGUUGUCACAAUGAAUCACAGGAACAAUAUGUUUGACAGCAAGCUCAGAAAGAAGAGAUUGGAGCCAGGAAACUACAACAGUGACCAAAGCAAGACUUCUAUAUUCAACUUCAGUACUUGAGCACGCAACAACAGAUUGCUUCUUAGACCACCAGGAGAUGAGAUUUGGGCCAAAGAAGACACAAGCGCCAGAGGUGGACCGUCUGUCAUCUGGGUCAGAGGCCCAGUCAGCACCACAGAAGGCCGUGACAGAAAAAGGUGCAGAAGCAGGCUUUAGUCAGCAUCUGAAGGUUCACAAUGAAGUGAUGAAGACAGUGUCCACGAAUCACAGGCUACUUACAAAGAAUAUAGUCAACUCUAUAUAUAGAGAGAGAGAGAGAGAUUUGAAGUCUAACCGCCAACUAGCCCUAUAUGUUACAAACUAACUCUGGUUAGAGCUAAAACAAAAUAGACAAAGUAAAAACAAUUGACAGAGUAAGUAUACUCUAAUACUAACUAACCCAUAUUAAAAUUUAAAAUACAUAAGAGCCAAGUGUAGGGAUACAUGGCUACUAGUGAGAACACAUAAGAGCCAAAAACUUUCCUCUCCAUGACAUCAUCUAGAAAGCUCGACUGCACAUGACCAAAGGCCUUCUUAAAAUCAACUCAGAAUUUCUUUUUCCUCUUCUAAAUACCACCUACCACUUAAUUAGCACCGACAAUAAGGGCCAAAUCCAAAGUCUUCCCUGGAACAAAGUUCUGUGUGCUUCAGAAACAAAUUUCCUACACAUCUCGCUCAAACAGGCAAGAUUUCACUCACAAACUUUUAAACACUACAAAAUAAAAGCUGGUGGUCAUUACCUCAGUCCCUAACCAAGAUAAGCUGAACCUAGGCAAUGAAAGUGAUAAAGGAACCCCGUCCUUACCACUAUAGUAAAACUCCUUAACAUUUUCGAAAAAUUAUUACAAAACUAUGCUUGUAAAUGUAAGUGUAUGAAAUCAUACACAUCUUCAGUCCUUGUUUUUCCUAUUUUUAAACUGAAAUUUUGUAUUGGAUAAGAGAUUUUGUUAAAGAGAAAUGUGUAUACAAAACAGAGACAACAGGUAGCUCAUAAGUUCAACAACCGUAUAACUCUCCAAUUCUUUAGUGUAUAUAGCAUGAACACAGAUCCAACCACUUACCAUGUGGUAGCACACUAUGCUUGAGAGCACAAUCACUGACCAAAUCAAACAAGGCAUAGAAUUCCUUCCUUACCCAUAAACUAAACAACAUGAUAAGUGCACGCUCAAGCAUAGUUACCCUGUUGCUUUAUGUGUUACUAAACCAGUUUUAUAGAUAUUCUCAGUUUUCUCCCCCAUUUUACAUCAGAAAUGCAUAGGGUUUCAGAUUUGAAUCAACAAUUAAAAUCUUCCCCUUGUUGAGACAAAAAAGCACAAGGCACUUGUGUUUUUUUCUCUGACCAACUAGCAGAUCUCCAGAGUCAUUUUUGACCAACCCAGAAGAUCUCCAGCACUGUUUCUGACCACCCCUUUGUUCAUGCAUCAUAGCACAGCUGUUAGGACUUUGUUCUGUUCUUGUACAGUUGUCUGUUUUUAUUGUGUUGUUAUGCUCUUUCUGCACACUUCAGUCUAUAUUUCCUUAAUUGGUCUGCAUUUUUUCCCAACUCCUGUGGUCUUUGUUUACACAUGUGAUUGCGUUUAUUUUUUCUUACAUAAUUCCAUCUUUCUUUUACUUCAUUGCUGCAUUUUCAUUUUUUCUUCACAGCAUGGCAUCAUCCACUCAACUGUGACCACAUUGCUUUUGUUGUAACCUUAGAUUAGGGAUGAUAGUGUGUAUGUGUGCUUAGAAUUAAAUUAUGACUUUGGAUUAUUAAUUAUUAAUGUCGUUAACUGUGGUAUUUUUGGGUUUGGCCGUGUCAUGCCACGGUCAGGGAUUAAUAACCAUGAACUCAUGUUCAACUAGGGUAAAAAAGAUCUUCAUUUAAAGUUGAAAGGUAGUUCUAAGACCACCUUUACAUCCAGACUCAUUCCUAUAAUAAAAGAUAUUUACUAACAUGCACAAUAAAUUGAGCUAAAACCAUAUAUAACUUUGGCAACAAUUGGUCAUUAGGAAUGGCCAGUGGCGUAGCAAGAUAUUAAUACCUUUAUAACUUCACUGGAGAGAUAAAGAAAGCAUGGUUGGUGGUGCUGCCUAUAAAGACUCUGAAUCUCUUCCAGCAUGGCACCAAUUGUGAGCCCCAUGAACCUUCCAGAAGUUCUCACCUAGAAACAUGUGAUAAUAUAUUGCCACAUAGCAUUCAAUAAUACAAACUAAUCUUUUCAACGUUGAUAAUGCAUAGAACCAGAGUUGAGCUUGUACAGACUCUUUAAGAGGAUGAAACCACCAGGGAACUGACAUUAAAUUUUAAAUUUGUAUCACAGACAUGGCUGACAAACAGCCAACUGAAAAAUGGCUUAUAUUACAUGAUGGAAAAAAACAUAUCAUAAACAUAGUGUGUUGCGACCUCAUGAAAAUUAUGCGUAGCCAUAUGAUAGGUUGAGACAUAAAUAAUAAGCCUGGGUUGAAAGUUGAAACCACAAACAAAAAUUGCAGUAAUAUGGAAAUUUAAGAUAAAUGCCUAAUCCAAAUUGGAUGACUCAAUGCCAACUCAUGUCUUGUCAUUAUUAAUUAUUUUCUUUACAUUGUAAAUGUGCAGAUGGAGCAGAGUUAAUGGUUUAGCUUACUGCAUAUUUACAUGCUCGGCAGAGAGAUUCCAUUGUUCUCAUGUCCCAAGCACGACUGGCAUCAAUAUCAUCAUAAACAUGUCUUAGACAAGCAAGCUUCAAAAAAUAGAAGAAAACAAAAGAAGAAAUGAUAGACAUUACAUAAGCAAUUAGAGACCACUUACAUAUCAAAAAUAGCCUUAAAAAUUGGCCAUAGCCGUUGAAUAGCAUCUGCCACAACUUGAGGAUGAUUUACAAAUCUAGAAGAAGAUUCAGUCAUGCGUUCAGGAUUGUGAAAAAAUUGAGUUAAAAGGAAAAAAAGGUAGUAGGGUGCAUAGACAUGACAAUAUUAAUUAUGGAACACACCUAAAGAUGUAGGCAAAUCGAUCAAUAUGAACUGUUAACUGACGAGAAGGUCUUUUACUCAAGCUUUCUGGACCUUGAUUGAUAGCUUCCUGAUGAAGCAAAUUAUAGAAAGCAAAAACAUCAAAAGAAAAUGUAUAACUAAAAAUAUCUCUGCAGAUUGGACACUAACCUGUAAAGGAGUUAUGACUGGUAUGCAUAAUGCCUCAAGAGCUCUCUUAGCAUCAUCUGGAGGAAGUUCAGUAACAACCAUACUGCACAGAAAUUAAAGAUGUUUAAAUCAAUACCUACAAUUCAAGAUAUAAACAAUAGCAAACAAUCCUAGAUGCAAAUAUUUAAAGGAACCAAACUACCUCAAAGCUUCAACCAGAUGCAAAGAGUCUUCAGCAGGAACUUUGAAACUAUCUUCUCCAUUAACGGUCUUGUUGUAGAUGUGGAAUAGACCUUCUAAGCAUCCACAAAGCUUUUUCCGGCAGUCUGAAAUCAGAACAAAAUCAUAGAGAAAUGACUCACAUAUCAAAUACUAAAAACUGCCCAUCUCCAACUUGGCUACACAGCAAUGAUUGAAUUCUUGACCGCAUGGUCAAGAACCGACUAUCUGCCAAAAGUUUAAGCUGUAGGGUGAAGGCUUACUAACGGCUUUAUAUCUAACAAAAAUCAUAAAAUUUAAAGCAAAAUUUAAUAAUUUGAUCCAUCAAAUAUUCUGUCUGAGUUAACAGGCCAUAGCAAAAAUAAUGGAAAUAAAUUAAAACAACAUAUUCUCUGUUCUCCCCAUCCAAUAUUCUCUUUUUUAUUCAUCUUCUGAAAAAUUCCAAUCAUUACUGAUUUUAUUUGGUAAAAGCAGAUAUAAAAGUAAAAUGAGAAUGCUAGCAACACUCUCUACCGCACUCUUUUAAACACAACCUCUACCAUUGGCAGAAAUUUAUUUGGUAAUAGCAAAUAUAAAAAAUUAGAUUCCUGCAAUACUUUCUUGAAAAACAAUAAAAGCUUACUUAAAGAAGUUCAUCUCAUAAAACCACAAGUGUUUUUAUCACUGUAUGAAAAUGACGAAAACAAAUGCUCUAUGUAACACUUCAUAAUCAAAACCACAAAGUUCAGAAAUCAGAAGUUUAUUUGUUAUCAUUUAAACUGGAGUCACUCAUCUUCGCCAUGUUUGCACUGAAUACUGUUGUAACUCACCAAGCUUAUUCAUCAACAUUCCAAGGGAUAAAAAGAAAGUGCAAAAAUGUACUCAAAUAGAAGUUGACUAUACCAUCACAGAUGUGUCUAAAUGCCAAAGCAGCAGCAGCUGCACAUUCUUCAGAUGUACCCAUGCCAUUCAUUAGGAUAUCUAAAACUGAGGGCAGUACAGACAGUCCACAAGAUGCAGAAUCUAGCCAUUUUGAAUAAGCUCCAAUAGUUAAACACACUGAAAAUACAGCAACAAGACAUAAAAAGCAUUUUAUUAGUCAGGUACCAUAUAAAUUGAAGUAGAAAAUCUACAAUUUGCGUUAGAUAUAAAAUUACAAGAUGGCAAGCGGGAACUAAAGAAGUUGAUUGCGAAGAGAAUAACAUUAUUUAUUUAUUUAUUUUAAAAAAGGCAGUAUAAACAUUACCUGUUUGAAGUAAUUGGGGUUGAUGAGGAAGUUUCGGAAGCAAAGCCAUGAUCUGUAUGAAGGCAAAAAAAAAAGAAUGCAAAUAUAAAACAACUUAUGAGCUUGCAAAAAGAAUGUACUUGGAUAGUGUCACUAUACUAGCCACUGAAACAAGGGACACUUAAUUAUGCCAUUUCAGAUUGUACUAGACCCUGAACUAGGGGGCACUAAAUUAUGCAAAACAAACAACCGUAUUGGUGGUAGCCACUAAAAAAGAGUACCAACCAUAUUGACAUAUUGAAGAGGUAAAAAAAUUAGUAUUGCAGCCACCUUCAUAGUUAUUUUCAAACACAUAAUUUCCUAAUAUUAACAGCCUCCAAUCCAUCAAUGGAUCCUUCCUAUCCCAUCAAUGGAUAAGUCAUUUCAAUCCAUCAAUGCAUCCUUCCUAACCCACGAAGAAUUCUCUACCUCUCAUCAGUAGCUCCUUCUAAAAAAUCGGCCUCGUCCCCAAGGCUGAAAGUGGGAAGAAGCUUCUUCCUUAUUCUCUUCAUCCACUCCCAUAGCAAUUACCUCUCCUUCAUUUAGAGGUUCAUUAUCUCCCAAAAGGCCAAAAUCACCAACCUUAACUAUUUUUCCUUGCAUUGAAACAAAGGAUGGAAUUUCUCAACACACAAAAACAUAACCCUUUACUUUUUGCCUACAUAAAUUCUUGAUAAGUUAAAUGCCGCAGCCCUUACCUUUUCUCAACAGAAUUCCAUUGAUCCCCUUCAUUCUUCCUCCUUGUUGACGUUGAAAAGGAAAGAAGGUCUCUGUUUUUGAGGGAAAAAACUCUAAGCCACUAAACCAGAAUUCAUGUCAUUUCUCAUUCUAACUGCAACUUUGAUGAAGAUCAAGGAAAGCCUUUGGGAAAAAGCAAGAGCUUGGGAGAGAAAGAAUCUAAUUGGGCUAGGAGGCCCAACAAUAAGGGAAAGAACUAAGAAAGAAAAGGAGAUGUUGCUUAAAAAGGAGAUCAACACCUACAAGUUCAAGCCAAAAGUGAGAAAGAAGAGCCCAAGAUGCAUUUAAUCUAAGUGGAAUAACAAUGUGCCAACUAUGUGCUUGCAAUCUGAUUUGUUUUUACAUUUUAUUUAAGUAUUUUGAGUUGUUCUAAUUGUAGUAAAUGGGCUGCUCUGACACCACAUGGUAUCAUCCCCGAUAGGAAUCAUAAUGUUUUUACGGAUCGUCCUUAAGUGGAUUCGCAUUUAAUGGAAUUAAAGAGGAAAGAAAGAUAAGAAUUUGAAACAACUUCCUUAAUCCUUAUAACAAUGGCAUUCAAUCAAAGAAAGCUUGAAGCUUUAUGGAAAUGACGCACAUAUAAACAAAGGAAUAGAGGAAAGUUGUGCAAGAAUGAAAACUACAAAAUAUUAAGCACGUGAAACUAAAAAUAAACAAUUAAAAACGAAAAUGAAAAGAUGGAAAAGAACAAAAGUGUAGGGGAAGAUGCCACACCCUAUAGAGAGUGAUAAGUCCAAAGAAGGUUUGUCACAAAGGUAUGGAAACCUUUGAUAAGAACCAAGAUAGGUUCAAUCUAAGAACCCACAAGAGACACAACUCUUAAACUCACAAAAGGAGUGAAAUUCUAAUCUUAUUCAAUUCUACCCCAAAAGCAAGAGAGUACAAGGCUAUUUAUAUGAAACAACUAGUGCCUCCCUCUUAAUAAGGCUGAUGGCUAAACCUAAUUUUAAUGUUGGAAAUUGAGCUUUUUAUUAGUAUCAGAACAACCCAUUUAUUACAAUUAGAACAACUCAAAAUACUUAAAUAAAAUCUAAAAAUAAAUCAGAUUGCAAGCACAUAGUUAUUCCACUUAGAUCAAAUGCAUCUUGGGCUCUUCUUUCUCACUUUAGGCUUGAGCUUGCAGGUCUUGAUCUCCUUUUCAAGCAACAUCUCCCUUUCUUUCGUAGCUCUUUCACUUAUUGUUGGGCCUCCUAAGCCAAUUAGUUUCUUCUUCUCCCAAGCUCUUGAUUUUUCCCUAGAAGGAUGUUCCGUAAAAACAUUAUGACUCCUAUCGAGGAUCAUAUCAUGUGGUAUCUAGAGCCCGGAUCCUAGAGUUGAUAGUGUUCUUCUGUUUUUCCUUAUUUCACCAUUCUGAAUUGUCUUGAUCAUGUCAUCAACUAAUCAUAAUGGUGUCAUUUAUUGCCAUUAAUUAUCAUUUCAUGCUGUUUUUUUUCUUCUGAAUCUGUGCAAUUAUUUUGGCAAUCAUGCAUUUAUUGUCAUUAUAGCAUCUCAAUAUGAAAUCUAAUAACUCCUAUUUGUUGGCCAUAUUAAUAAUUUGUUACAAGGGCAAAACAAAUAGGGGUAAAAGAAAAAAGACUGCCCCUAGCACUUAAAGAAGUUGUUGAAUAUCUUUUGGGUUUCUAAAUUAGAUUUGUAUGUAUCAUUACUAAAUAUUUUUUCCUUGUUUUAGAAGUCAGCAGACAUAGGCUAGGCUAAGCUGUCACAUAGACUAGGCUGGGCUAUCCUUUCCCCCUUUCUCUCUCUUAUGCUUUGUACUCUAUAAAUUGUAAGCUGAAACAUGCCCUGUGAGUGAAAUUUCCUCACAUAUUUAAAUUCAAGUUGGCAUCAGAGCGGGUUCCGGCCACCAUCGUCGCCGCUGUCACCGUCCGCCACCUCUAAUCACCAUUCGCCGCCUCUGGCCGUCGUCUGCCGCUGCCGCACUCCGACUGUCGGAAUCCCGCCGGAAUUGUCUCAAACGGCGCAUUUUUGCUUUUGGGUCAAAAAUGACUUCUUUCAGUCCUGUUUUUUCAUUUUCUGAAACCCCAACCAUUACAACUGCCAAGCUCAACUGGAAAAAUUAUUUGUCGUGGUCUGCUUCAGUUGAGUUGUGGUUUCUUGGUCAAGGGUAGCAUGACCACCUAGAGAAAAGCGUCAAUGCUGUUCCAAACGACAAGAAACCUGAACGGGAGAAGCUAGAUUAUCAACUAUGUGUUGUUCUAUGGCAAUCAGUCGAGCCAGAUGUUUUGGAGAUUCUCAGAUCUUUCAAAACAUGUCACCUUUUCUAGAAGAAGGCCCAAGAGAUCUUCGCCAACGAUAUUCAAAGCCUAUUUGAUGCGACUGUGAAAGUUACAGCUCUCAAGCAAUCUAACCAUGACAUGAUUGCACAUAUGGGUAAAGCUCGGGCAACAGUAGAAGAGCUGAGAAGGUUUCUUGUGCCUGAUUCGUUGGAAGAGGUGAAUAGGAAACUGGACAAGUUCUACAUGGUCCUUAUCUUGAGGAGUCUACACUCAGAUUUUGAUCAUGUACGUGAUCAGGUCCUGGCUAAAGAUCAAGUCCCAUCAAUGGAUUCUCUCAUUACUAGGCUUCUCUGUGUAGCUCAUGCGUUGAAGGAUGAAAAUCUCACUGAAGUUGUGGAAACAUCAGCCAUGGUGGCACCUCGUGGGAGAGGGGGAGGCCGUAACAGUAGAGGAGGCCGCAAUGGAAGGAGUGGACGUCCUCAAUGCACAUAUUGCAAGAGGAUGGGCCAUACUCAAGAAAAUUGGUCUUACCAGUUCUGGAAAAAAAAAUGAGUUGAGGAAGUACACCCCCGUCCCCUAGGACAGCUAAUUUAAUACACUUCUUCACAAGGGAGUUAGAGAAGAUUAGGGUGGAGAUUGACACAGUUUGAGGAUGGAAGGAGAAGGAUUCCCAACAUGAGAUCUCGCAUAAGGAUGGGGAUUCCUAUUAUUUGGGUAGAGAAAUCAGAGUUUGAGAGAGAAAAGAAGAAACCAAAGUUAGUUACUGCUCUAACAGAAAUAACAGCUUCUAACAAACUAACAGAAAUAACAAAACACAACUGUCCUAACUGAAUCAUAACAACUCUAUUUUGCAGAAAAUUGGGAGUGCUAACCCAAGGAAGAAGUGCAAUAAAGAUUCAUUGAGCCUCAUUCCUAAAGCCCCUUUACCUAGAAGGCCAACUUGGGAGAGGAUAGGGCUUGAGCCCGGAUAUAAAUCCUAUAAGGAUGACAUGCAAGGUAAGUAUGAGCUUCAUGAAAAAUCUAAAGAGACUAACCAAAUUUCCUUUAAUGUGGGUAUUGGAGGAUUAAAUCCGAGGAUGAAUUUUCUCAAAGAAAGAGGGAAUAAUGGAGAUCAAGGAAAGCCUUCAAGGGAAAAACGAAGAGCUUGGGAGAGGAAGAAUCUAAUUGGGCUAGGAAGCCCAACAAUAAGGGAAAGAGCUAAGAAAGAAAAGGAGAUGUUGCUUGAAAAGGAGAUCAACACCACCAAGCUCAAGCCUAAAGUGAGAAAGAAGAGCCCAAGAUGCAUUUGAUCUAAGUGGAAUAACAAUGUGUCAACUAUGUGCUUGCAAUCUUAUUUAUUUUUAGAUUUUAUUUAAGUAUUUUGAAUUGUUCUAAAUGGGUUGUUCUGAUACUAAAAAAAACCCCAAUUUCCAACAUUAAAAUUAGGUUUAGCCAUCAGCCUCAUUAGGAGGGAGGCACUAGUUGUUUUCUAUAAAUAGCCUUGUACUCUCUUGCUUUUGGGGCAGAAUUGAUAAGAUUAGAAUUUCACUCCUUUUGUGAAUUUAAGAGUUGUGCCUCUUGUUGGUUCUUAGAUUGAACCUUUCUUGGUUCUUAUCAAAGGUUUUCAUACCUUUGUGGCGAAUCUUUGCUGAACUUAUCACUCUCUAUAGAGUAUGGCGUCUUCCCCUAAAUUUCUAUUAUUUUUCAUCUUUUCAUUUUUGUUUUUAAUUGUUUAUUUUUAGUUUCAUGUGCUUAAUAUUUUAGAGUUUUCAUUCUUGCACAACUUUCCUCUAUUCCUUUGUUUAUAUGCGCGUCAUUACCAUAAAGCUUCAAGCUUUCUUUGAUUGAAUGUGUCAUUGUUAUAAGGAUUAAUGAAGUUGUUUCAAAUUCUUAUCUUUCUCUUCUCCUUAAUUCCAUUAAACAUGAAUCCACUCAAGGACGAUCCUUAAAAACAUUAUGACUCCUAUCGAGGAUCAUAUCAAACUUGGCUGGGUUGCAGCAGUUUAGAAAUUUGCUCACAAUUUUGCAUUCCUGCUCCAAACAGCGUAACCAGUUGUGCUGCUUGAAGGUGGGAGAUGCAGAUGGUUGAAAUUAUGUGUUUGAUAUGCCUGUUAAACCUAAAGCACUAACUCUUAUUUAUGCUAAUCAUAAUCCUAACUAAUUACCUAUUCUAACAUUCUAUAAGGGCCACUCUCAACUGACUAGGCCUAACCAACAAAUCCCAUCCUAACGCACAUAUGCUCGUAAUAUUAAUUGCUUCCAAUCCAUCAACGAUUCCUUCCCAACCCACUUGGAUCUUGGUUCUCAUCACAUCUUAAAAAAAAUAUUUGUUGCUAGAGUAUUAUUUUACUGUAAAACAAUUACUUUGUCACUUCUACGAUCUCCUUCAAGGUGAGGUUGAAAUGACAGGAAUGUUUUCUCAUAUUUUUUGUUUAGUAUUUUGAUAUAGAUAAAAUUUAAUGAGAGAAAAUAAACAAUCAAAAAACAUUUUUCUUUUUCUAUAAAAAAAUUCAUUUACUUUUGGAGUUUCUUUAAUAUAAAUAAAGCAUAAAAUAGAAAAGGGCUUAAAUACAGAUAGAAAAAUCAUCUGUGUAGACAAAAGUGUAUAAAGGAAGGAUUUUAUAAUGUUGUAUUAAAAGCAAAAAACAAAUUGUAAUAUUUCAAAGUCAGCAGGAGAUUCUACUCAUUUGGCUACACUGUAGAGAAGAACUAUAUAAUUAUUAUUCUUACAAAUUUAAAGGUGUAACCAUACCUGAGGCAUUACUUCUGCUUCAACAACCGACACAUAAUUUGAUAUAGCCCGAAUACAAAAUAAAGCAGCCUCCGCUGGACACCAUUCCUUGUGUUCAUUAUUACCAUGGCCAGAUACAGCCUAAACAGGGAAGUCAGAAACAGUGAGAGGUUUAGGAAAUAACAUUCACAUUAUUUAAGAAAAAGCACAUAUAAGCAGCAAAAACAUAGCCAACACCUACAAUCUACUUUCUGAUAUUACGGUUAAUGCAGAAGAAUAAACUCUAGAGACCCACAAGUUCAGAAUGAAACUUAUGCACUACAAUUUGAAUAAACAGAUAAGCAAUAUCCCACCAUUAAAAUAACCUUAUAUUAAUAAUAGGCGAAGCAUAUUUAAUUUAAAUGACUUCAAGAUGUAAUCCGCACCUCAAGCAGUUUCAUGUAUAGAAUUUUAAGUGUGGCAUCACCGCCAAGUACUGAUGAUGCAUCUGUUAAUACAUCCGCAACAGCUGAAACAACAAUUUGCAGUUAGCCUAUUAGAAAUAUCAUCUAAUUCUGGUUGAAAUAAAAACAGUCGAUAUAUGGUUUGAGUAGUAUUAUAUAUAGUUUUGUUGAUAAGUAAAAACAAUCCUUAUACGGAUUGGAUAUCCAUCCACACAAAAAUAAUAAUGGAUGAGCUGGGUUACUUUUUUUCUAAAAUGAAUCAGAAUGCACUAAUGUCUAUGACUUAUCCAUUUCAAUACUAAUCAAAAUGUAUCCAAACUAUCUAUUUUACACCCAUAUAUAACAUUGAAGGACCAAAUUGAAAUCCAUUUUACUAUUUGUUUAUAUUGCAUAAAAAAAAUUACUUCAACAUAAUAAAUUACAAAAAAAGAAUAUGGCAUUAUUUGUUAUAUUAAUCAUAGUAAUGAUUUUUAACAUUUAAACCUUUUUGAAAUAUAGUUUAGGGUUAAUGGUUUAUGCAGAAGAAUAUGCAAGGGAGAAAAGAAAAAAUGCAAGAGAAGUAGAAGAGAAGAGAUUUUGGGAUCAGCAUAUGAGAAGUGAGGUCACAGGUAAAAAAGAUAAAUGAGGUUGCUGCUUUGCAAUAAAUGCAACAGUCAGGGUAAAUGAGUGAAAAUGGAAAUUUGACAUUUGAGAGAGAAUAUAAUAUAAAAAAUUGAAUCAAAUGAUCAAGCUGAGAGAUGGAGACCCAACAGCAUUUUUAACCAUGAACCGCUUUUUUGAGUUUUCAUCUCAACUGUCAAACAUACUAGCUUCUCUCCAAAACAGAUCAAAUGCGAAAUCAAUUAUCAAUCUAAUGUACCCCUGAAUAGAAUCAAUCUAAUGCACAACAAUACAUGGAAAACAAGGAAAUGAAUCACCACACCACAAACCCAUUACCAUAUUUAGUCUGCUUAAAUUCCUUAAGAUCCUCGUAUGAAAGGUCUUGAUAAUCUUCAGGAUACUGUACCCGAAAGAUAACCUACAAAACAUCCAUGAAAAAAAUAGCAUAAAAAUAAUGACAGGUACAGAAUCCAGUCGUGACUAAAAAUAAGAAGUGUUAUGAAUGAGUAACACAGGCAAUAAAUCAUAUUUCAUAAUGCAACAAGAAUGUUGAGAACAAUCGUGUAAAUAAGUAGAAAGCCAUGCACAUUUUUAUGGGACAGAGAUAAUUACAAAACUGAUUUUAAGGUAGCACACAUGAGAGCUGGAAACCAUGCACUGCAAGGGUGUUUGACAGUUUCAGAGGAAACGUUAGUUCCAACUUCAAGUUUCCAACCAGGAAGACUCACCAGCGAUACAAGUGACUCAUAUGCAGGUCGAAAAACCUGCAGCCUUCUAUUUCUCUCAGCUUCAAUGCAUGCUUCGUUGCCAUAUGAAAUAUAGGACUCCCUGUCAGAUUAUGUAAUAAUCAUAUUUCUGGUUAAAGCAAUGCAAAGUAAAAACAGUACUUUCUAAAGUGAAGAAAAUUCACCUUUUAGUCAAGUUUAACUGGAGACUAUGCCAAAAGUUAAAAGUCAUAGAAGCAAUAUCAUAUUCAGGAUGUGAAGCAACUUCCAACAAUGCAUGCACUAUUAACAUUGAUUCAUCUGAACCUGGAAAAUUGAGUCAUGACGCACGCAGACCCAAUAAGUUCAACACAACCAAGAACCAUGAGAAACUAGCCAUGGCAACAAAGUUUUUCACACAUGAGAAAGCAUCAAUUCUUCUCAAAUAGAAACCAACAAAGUGUAUAUCUAAGUACAAGUACCAGUUGCAAUCAGUUCCACAUAUGAAUCACCCAUGUCUGCAAAUAACCUAGCAAUUGCCUUCACAUCUUCCUCGUCCUAAAGGCAGAUAAGAGGAUCGUAAAAAGAAGACUUGUAAGUAUAGCAGGCAACUGUCUGCAAACUAAGAAUGCCAAUAUCAUAUUAUAAUGAACAAAACAUUGCUAUGAUUGGAAGAUAAACUAAUCGUUUUCUAUAUCCAUGGGCAUUCACACAGUCAUACAGUUUACAAACUGAAAUCCUUAAAAAGAAUUUUUAAUUAAAAAUCAUUAACUUAAUACAGAUAUGAUAUAUUUUUUUCAGAAAAUCUCGCAGAUUAUUCAAUUUUUUGGUGACUGAAACACCUCAACAAAUUAUAUAGACCAAGUAUCGCACACAACAGCAGUAACAGGUACACAUGCAAAGAAACAAACAAUAAUUUAGCAAAGUAAUUUAUAUACCUAUUUAUCCAUUAGCCAGAAAAACGGAGAAAAAAAUGCAUGUAAAAAAACAAGAAAAAAAAAACUCAAUUGACCAUUGAUUUUGAAACCCUUACAGCCUAAAUUAAAAAAAAAAAAAAGAAUUUUAGGGUAAACUUCCAAAAUAUUACAACAGGAACUUGUGAACUUUAGUAAUAUCAGAAUGUGAGUUUGCUUUGUAAUAUCAUCAUACAUAAUAAAAAUUAUACAGUUUAUGGUAGUUAACCUUGCUCUUGUAUCACUGUCACCUCACCUCUCACAGCCUGGCUGCGAUGGUAUGUUCACCAAGUCAUGCUUUUGGGAAGCAGAAAUAACAGCUGUCUUUACAGUCAAAUCAAAGCCGUCAAGAUACUAUGAUUGAUGGGACAAAAAUUCCUGUUUUUCCCUGCUUAUGUUUGACUACCACACUGGUCUUUUAAAAAGGCAAUUUUUGAAAUUCCAUUCCUUUUCUCCUAUGAGAUAUGAAAGUAGGAUUGAAAAUCCCUUAUGUUUCAAAGAGCAAUGCCCUAGAUUGUUUGGCUACUGCUCCGUUCCUUCAAACUUCAGCAUGACACCAACAGACAUACACACUUUUAUCAUACUCACGAGCCUGUCCUCAUUAACUUUAUUUCACUGUGAACACAACGUCUGGCAAACAAGGGGGCUGGGACAAAGAAUCACUGGGUUACUGGAAAAACAAAUGGCCUAGGCUGCUGGAAGAACGAAGGUGUUAGGCCCCCAGUUAACAAGGUCUAUAGAAGGAAUAAGAGGUCCAUAUUAGAAGAGCCCAUCCUGUUAAUGAUAGGAUUGUUAGUUAUGAUAAUGAGAUGAAACAUAAAGUUAGUUAUGAUAGUAAGAGGGAAGUAAAUAGCAAUGGGGAGGAGGGGGGAGGAGUUUUGGGGAGUAGUUCAGAUGUCUCUCGAAUUCCCUGAUUGUAUCUUUUCCAUCUUCUGAAUGAAGCUUCGUCCUGGGAGAUUGGGUAUCCAAAUAGAAGACUCUUUCUCUGUGUUCUCUUUUCAGUUUUCUUUCUUUCUUAAACCAGUAUCUUACAAAAGGAUAUCUGCAAGUGCAACCCAGUGGUUUUCCAACCAAGUAAUUCAGUUUUGAUUUUCAAAUGUCCCACCUAUUGGAAGACUUCUCACAUGAUGCAUUUCCUAGUAGAAUCCCAGUAGGCAGCAGCCAACCAAUUUUCCAGCAAAGCCCACCUAGGUUUCAGCAUGAAGUAAUAUUUACAGUCCCCCUACCAGCCUCACCCACCACUGUACUUUUUAUUUUUUCCAUGCUUCCUGUAACUAAUUUGUUAGUUAGAUUAAUUAUUAUCGGCUUUUUAUAUGAUUUAUGAUUAUUAAUGCUGAAGUAUUUUAUAUUUUUGAGCAUUUAUACAUGUGUAGUAUAAAUUAUUUGCAUUCUAUGUACUUUCUUUGGUAUUGUGGCUGCUAUAGGUUUCUUAGGGUCAGCUGUUCAGCACUGGUUUCAAGAUUGAGUGCUAUGAUAUAGAGUGAACACAUUAUAUUCCUACCUUAAAUUCUUAGUGAAAUUGUCAACCAGAAGUGAACAUAACAUUUAAGUAGCUAGCUAUUAGCUGCCCACUAAAUACAAUAGAGAAAUGAUCAAAGGCUGGAUGAUUCACUAAAUAUUUGGUAUUCACAGCAUGCCCCUAAAACCAUAGGUGCUACUCCCAAUCAACCAUUUGAUACAUCGCAAACAAAAAAAAGAGCAGAUUAAAUUUUACAUUACUGUAGACUAUAACCAUCAAGUAAAUGCCAGCAGAGAGAACAUAAUCAGCAAUAUCAAAAACAAAAAUUGUUCCGGAUUCUUCAGAAUAAUCAAGUACGCAAUCUCUCAAGCCCCAGAGCAUGCAGAUUGAGUACUAAAAAGUCUUUACCUUCGUAGAAUCACCAAGCUGGACUUUAAGAUUCAUAACUUGAGGUACAAUGACUUGAAUUAAGGGCAUAUUUGCAGAAACACCAUCAAUGUUUCCUGCUGUUGUGUAGUGUAUUAACUCGGAAAUCACUGCAAAGAGAGCACACACAUACACACAAAAAAACAAUAAGAAGAUUAUGUUGCCAACAGGAACACCAACAGCAAUAAUCAAAUGGUGGUAAUAAUAACAGAUGCUGAAAGUGAAAGCAACAUCGAUCAUUAAAAAUAUCCAAUUUCUAAGCAAUCAAGCAAAGACAGCAAGCACAACUACUGCUGCUAAAGGAAGGAAGUCGGACACAUGGAACUUUAUUUGGAUGUCAUGCCAACACAAAAUUUUAUCACACAAACAAGUUUACAAUACACAUUGUACAGAUUCAUUUUGCACACAAGCAGUUCUUUUCCUUGUCUAAUAAUAUUCCAAUUUCCAAGGGGUAACAACAUCAUAUUUUUUAUUUAUUCAACAUUUUUUAGAAGCAUAUCUCAUUACAGCAAGACUGCAACAAUAAGCAGGUCAACGGUAACAGUUCCUGGUUAAAAUUGUAAGACUGUAGAGUGUAGGAUAUGAAGUGUUAAUUAACCUAAAUCUUAUAUAAUUUCUAGACCAAAUCAUGGUGGGAACCCAAUCCAACAUCUAAAACUAAUGGGUUUUAAGAUUUAAGGCAUCAAUCAACACUUAUGUUUUUUUUUUAUCAGCAAAAUAAAUGUAUUAUAUAUAAAUAAAUCAACACUUAUAUGGACUAGAGAAAAUGCCUAGUUUAUUUAUUUUAGGAAGCUUGAUUAUUUCUCAUGAGCCAAUCACCAAGUGACUAACUUCUUUUAUUCUAUAACACCAAAUUGCUUACUCUUUUAAGUUUUAAGCGGUCUCUUUGAUAACAAAUUAUCCAUUUUUUCUUUAAAUAUGAAAGAUUAAGAGAGGCAUAAAACAAUACAAGUCAAAAGUUGAUGAGAAAUAACCCUAAGCAUAAAAAAGACAAUUAUGUCAAAAAAAGAUAACUGCAGAAAUAAUGUUUGAGGAGUGCUAACAAACUCCUUGUAACCCACUAUUUUUAUUUAUUCGAAAUUAUUGAAAACUACAAAAUCAUGAGAGAAACCCAUUAAAUAAGAGAUGCAAGACCCACAAAAUUAUGAUUUCCAAUAACAAAUUAGAGUGUGUUCAAAAAAGUGUGUUAGAAUGUGUUCUUAGCAUUUCUCGUGUUUUUUUCAUCUCAAGACAAAACUUUAACCUUGAAAUAUUAUUGCAAGCUUUCCUUAAUGAAGAUUUUCUGGUUUAGCAACGUGAAUAUUACUUAUAUGGACUUAAGUAAGCGAGUAAAUAGCUAAAAAUAAAAUAAACAGAAUGCAACAUUAAUGUUUUCCCAGUUGUCAACUUGUCAUACCAUUUACAGAUGCCUCUGAAAGUAACUCAGAAUUCAAGCUUGACAACGCAGUGAGAACUAGCGGAUGAGAACUAAGAACUGAUCCAGGAAUCCUGGGGAACAAAAAAAAAAUCACUGGCCAAUAGAAUCAAAUACUUUUUCCCCCACUAGAAGAUUGAGAGAAAAACAGACCUGAAUAAGUUUAUAAGGAACAUAUAUAUCUUAUAGUCCAUCUAAGUUUCAGCAAGUUGUAAUAAACAGUCCCCCAAGCCUCUUCAUUCAACUUUAUGAAUGCUAAACUAAAACACAUUACCCAGCAUUUUUAGAUAUGCUUCCCACACCUUCGAUCACUUUCACUUAACAAAAGCAGUCUAUAUAUGUAGAACUCAGAUAAAUUAUCCACUCCUAACAUUCUUUCACAUGAAAGCCAAAUUUUAAUGUUCAUUAAAACACACGCACACAACAAAAAAGAAAGAUUUUCAAAUCUUAAAUUGGGGACAACAGAGCAUUUAUGUGAUUUUAACAAAAGCUUACAAUCAUUCAUUAUAUGGGUUAAAUGAGUCUUUGAUGCCCCUAUAAGUUCUUAAAAAAAUAACAUUGAGGAAGAAUAGCAUAUUACAUUAUCAGUAAUGCACCAUGUGAUGAACAAAAUUUAGGUACAGGCCUAAACAAAGAGAAAUUCCAUACCCAUGCUUUAGCCGAAGCCAUGAAGCAAAUGCCUCAAGAACCUGACCAUUUAACAUGAAAACAUCACCAUAAGACCACUUAAUAAACCUAAGUUGAAAAUACCUCACAAGAACCACAUAAUGGACAGUGAGUAAAUAGACAAUAUCCACUGCUCACCUGCUCCUUAAGUUCAGAAAUACUCAAACAUGCUGUCAAGAUAUUAAGAGCAAUUUCCAUUUGAGAUGUAAGCUCUUUUUCAAAUUGACGUCGCCUUUCUGGGCGAGCUGCAAUCUUAUAAUUUAAUACUUCCUGUGUAUAAAUAUAAAAUAUAUAAAAGACAUACUAUGCAGCACAAGCAUACCAAUUGUUAAUAAACUUAAUUUAAUUAAAAUACUUUUUCUCAACCAUUUAUAUAAGAAUUUAUGAGUUGUCUGAUGUUAAGCUAAGCACUAAAUAAACAACAAUGUGCGAGUCCAACAAGGAAGCAACUUUGCAAAUUAUAACAACUUGGCGUUUAGUCAUUCAAAGGUCAGAAUUAGCCUAAUUAAUAAGAUGAAAAGAUGAUGCAUGUUCCUCGCACGCUACUGAUGUCAGCUUAUAUACCUCCGGUAGAACUGUAAGUAACUCCAAGAAUCCCGGUAUAUAUUCCGGAUGGGAAUCCAUCUCAUCCCUAAGCCAUUUAACUAUACCACCAUCCCCCCAGUCUUCUGCAGGCACGUGCACAGCCAAGGCAGCCACUGCAAUGCUAAUCUACAAGUGCAGAAAAUUUUGAACAAUACAUUUGGUUACAUUAAAUUUCCAUAUAAAAAACACAAAACUAACCGAUAAGACAAACUAAAAAGAAGACAGAAGUUGCAAGGGACUUCUAUAUGACACCUGUGUUCUGACUUUUGGAGGACCUUUGUGGAACUUUUUCAGUAAGGUCUGCAUUCAAAAACAACUAAGAAAGUAAAGCAUAUAAAGUAUUAUUUCUACUUAAACAUCUGCAUGGUCAUGGAUGGGAGUCCAUAAACCAAACAAUUUUACACAGAGCAGGUUUGAAAACAGGAGUAUAUAUGCAAUCCUUUUAAGACGGAAUAAAAUUACACAUCCCAAGCUUAAAUAAACACCCUAUGAAUAACACUAAAAAUACAUAAACCCUCACUCACAUUCAAUGAGUCACGCAACGGCCGAAAAGCUGUGGAAGGGAGCUCCUCAAAGUCCCUUUGUACCUAAAUCAUACCAAAAACAAGUACUCAAAACCCAAGAAGAAGAAGAAGAAGCAUCCCUGAGCGCAAGUAUUUUGCAUUCAGAAACUAACAUCCAACAUUCUUAAACACGCAUAAGCAUUAACUACACAUCAACAGGGAGUAGAAGAACAGCAGAGUUACCUUGCUUCUCAAGGUCUGAGAACAAAAUAUCAAAGUUUCUAGAUUGCUACUGGGAUCAUGAAGUAAAUUAUCAGCCACCUGCAGAAAACAAAGUAAUAAACACAUGUACAGUACGCAAGCACGUUUGAAAUUUUGUUUCUGCACCGAAUUACAGAGCUCACACAAUUCAAAAGAAAAAACAAAAAGCCCUAAGUCUCCUUGAAAUCCAGAAGACACGGAAAUAGAAACAUUCACAAAAAAAACACAGCUAGAUAACUCUCUCAGCGAAGUACACAGCUCCAGAACCAACGGCAAUCGUCAAAUCAAGCACCGGAGAAAAAAGAUAGCAUCGACAAACAACAUAAUUAUGUAGUCAUUCAGUGAAAAUCAAAUCGGCGAGCGGGAGGAGAGAGAGAGAAAUCGGAAACGAAACGAAUCGAGUGGAGCAGAGAACGGAUUGAAGGAAGAACCUGCCACGCAUCCAAAGUUCGCUGGAAAUCCUGGAGAUAGCGAUCGGCUUGCAUGCGCACCGCAUCAUCGGGGUGAUGGUACAGUGCAUUUAGGGCUUCCUUCACAGUGUUCUGAAGGUCCAUGCUCCUCAAAUCGAAAGGAAACGGAACGAAUCGAAUCGCAGCACCGAUAGAAGAAGACGAAAGCGAAGCUCAAUCUGGCUAUUUCGGAUUUAUUUAUAUCUGCAGCUUUUUCAAUUUCGGUGUUGUGAUUUGGGCACUGCGUUUGAAAUUGAGAGAGUGAAGUUUGUUGUCCUGUUGAUAAAGCCACGAAAGGGGUUUUUGGCGCCCGGUGAGAAAGGGUUGGAAGCCUUGCACUUGCUUGGAGGGGUUUGAUGGACGUUGAUAAGCGAUUGUGGACGGCGACACUUUCUCAGCCGUUUGAUUCAUUGACUCUAGGUCAACUUUUGUGUCUUGCGCUUUUGGCGAAAGGGUUAAAAAUGCGUCUGAUCUAGACACGUGGCUGUGAUCAUUCAGGUUGGAGUGUUGGGGCCCAUUUUUAAAGCCUUCAACGUGUGAAUCCUUGUGGGAUGAGGUUGAUUUUUUUUUUUUUUACCUUUCGGUUCUUUUUGGUAAUUGGCAUCACAUUUUGUUUGAACUUUAAAAAAAAAAAAUUAUACAAUAACAAAAAUGUUUGAAGGUCACAAAGGCUUCCUUAAAUUAUACUUGUAAAGUAAAUUAUAUUUGUUUUUAUUUACUGUUUUGUUGGAUAGUCAUCUGUUAAUUAAAGCAAAUUGUUGGAUCAAAAUUUAUGAAUUGAACUUAAUUUUUCUUUAUUAUUAGCUAAUUGGAAAUUUAUUAUCUCUUCAGUUUUCUGUUAUUGGGUUGGGUCCCUCUUUCAGAAGAAAAAAAUUGUUAAAAUAUUAUAUUUAUUUUGUGCAUUUUUAAUAUAUUGGCAUUCUCAUAAUUGAUAGGCCUUCUUUGAAUAGGAUAAGCUUGUGGAUAACUUUGAAGAGGAACUCAAUAGUUGCCCACAUAGUAAUUUUGCUAGCAUUACCCCCUUGAUCCAUAACUAUGACCCAUCAAAACAACAUGUUAGCAUGAGAUAUGAGAGUUUAUUAAGAAAUUAAAUAUUGUUUCUAGACAAAAGCUAUAGUAUUGAAUGAUACCAAGAAAUACAAAGUCUCACACAUUAUUUUUUAUAAAACAAAUUUAACACUCAAUGCGACAUUCAAAAUCAAUUAGUUAACAUGAUAAUUCACAUGCACACAUUCACAUGCUAUCACAAAAGUACGGUUAAAUGGUACGAAAUAGUCCAUGCAUGAAACAGUACGAAAUAUAAGUGUCUUAUUUUUAUUUGUUAGAGAUUUAAUGAAAAAAAAAAUUAAAAAAAUCAUGGAACAUUGAUUGAUUUAAACUUUUGUACAUUUCAUGUGAGAUAACGUUCGUACUAUUCAACAAUUUCCUACCACAAAAUACAAAUACAUGUUAUGUAAAACAUUUUUAACAUCAAACCUAAGAAAUUACCAAUACUAAUAUUGUAAUUGUAAGCCUCACAUUUUCUGCGAUGACCGCACCCAAAUAUGAUGUAAUUACCAUUAGGCUAAUGACUCUCCUCAAUAUCCGAAUGAGGGACUUUAAAGAUUGUGAGAAUAUCCUGAUAAACUUUAACUCUAUAAGCCCACACUAUCCACUAUGUCAUUGAAGUUAUUUAGUUGAUAUAAAGUUUAAUUUUUUGGUAUUGUAAAUUCAUUUUUCAAUUAUUCUUGUAGAUUAAUAAAUUUAUUUGUAUUUAUUUUAAUUUUUAUCUAUAAUUAUUAACUAAAAUAAAAUAUUGUAAAACAUUUUAUAUUCAACUAAAUUUUUUAUAAAAUUGUUAUUUUUAAUUAUUAUUGUUCAUAAAAUAUAUUUCAAAAUAACCAAUUUAAUAAGUAAAUAAAUUUAAAUAUAAUUAUCAAUAUAACAUUUAUUUUAAUAAUAAAAUUAAAAAAUAUACUUUUAUAUAUACUAAAAGUACCCCUUAAAUAUAUAGGUUUCUUUUUCCUAAAUUAUACCUUCUCUCUUCCCAUUUAUUUUUUUAUUUAAAAAAAUUAUUAAAAUUUUAAAGUUAAGAAGUCGGGGUUGGAGAACCCCAACUUCGGUUUGGUUUUGUUUUUUGUAAUUUAUUUUUUUGUAUUAAAUUUUGAUUUUUUUAAAAAAUAAUUUAUUUUUGUUAAUAUUAUUAUUUUGUUUUUUAAAUAAUGAGAAUUUUUUGUUUAAUAAUUUAUUAACAAUUCCUAUAUAUAAUUUCACAAUUUCGCAACACAUCACACAAAACAACAUCCUCACAAAAGUAACUUUUGUUCCUAUUUCUUAUAGUCUUCCCAUUCACAUCCCCCAAACACACCCAUGACUCCACCUAGAAAAAUAUCAACUGUCGUCCAUAGUGAUGAACCUAAUAUUUAUAUACAUGAGUUUAUUACGUUAACACAAUUUAUUCCAAAAAUUAACAGUUGUAUCCCUAAUCGUGCAAUAGAGAUAAUUGUUAUAUCGUGUCUCUAUUUUAUUUAAUCAUGGCCAAACACAUUUUAUUUAAGCACAUUUACAUGAUAAUGACGAUCUUAAGGGCAUGCUAAAAACAAUUGUCCAAAAUCCAUAAUUGAAUUAUGCCAAAAUUUUAUGUUGUUACUGAGUUUAUUCCUCAACCACAAUCACCGUUUUCACAACCACAACUAUCGUCUCCACAACCACAAUUAUCGUCUCCACAACCUGAACUCAACUAGUGUCUUCAUACAACAACAACCGUGAAACACAUGACGCUCUUGACAUUUAUACUUCAUACAUACAACUAUUAUCCUAACAUGAUUCUUUUUCUUGUGCCCAACAAACAUCUUUUAACCAACAAAAUUAUCAUCCAUCACAAUAUUUUACAACCUCACCCUUGUCAUAACAAGCACAAACACAAACAUCAAACUCAAAUGAACAUCUCAUCACUAAUCCCAUUAUACGAUUUCACAAAUAAAAUAUGGAUGAUUUUAGUGAGCAUGGGGAUCAAAAGUUGUUUCAUCACAACAAUGACCAAAACAAUGAUGAGGGUAUUGUCGUACUAACGUCACCUCCGUUGCAAUAUCACCAACUUAGGUGUUGAACCUGUACCACCUAUCACAAUACAUUGAUCAACAUCAUUUCAUUUAACAACAAAGAUCGAGUACAACCACUAACUGAUGCACUUGAGGUUGGCAUGAUUUUCAAUGAAAAAGCACAAUGUAUUUAAGCAAUCAAAGAAUAUAAUAUUAGAAAUCAUUUUGAUUGCAAAACAAUAUAUUCUGACCAGAAAAAACCAAACUUCAUGUCUAAAUCACAUGAAAAUAGUUGUGCAUAGAGCUUAGGCGCAUGCAAUUCAAAGACGCCCAAGAAAUGAAUUAUCAAGAGUAUUGUAGAAGGGGAGACAAUUCAGCGUGAGGGUUUUUCCUGAAGAAUCUUAGAAGUUACUCCGCAGAGUAACAUUUCUCUCAUUUAUUUUUCCUACGCCACAUUACACAAAUUCUUUUCGCGGUAACCCAAAUUACAAACAUUUGAAGAAACCACUCAUGCAGGCCCGGUGAUAAUCUAUAAUAUUUUUUUCGUUAAACUAUUUUAAUUCAAACUUCAUAAUGUAUUAAAUUGAUUGAAUAUUUAUAGGGUACGCAUACACAAAGAAGAUGCACUAGCAGCAUAUUGGGGACAUAUCCGUGCGAAUAAGUCAAGUGCACCUGAAUAACUUGAUCAGUUACCCAAACAAUAUAUAUUUGGUACAGUACUUCGAUGAGGGGAAACAUUGGGGACAUAUAACUACAAAUUUGUUUGAGUUGGUCAAUUUCAUGUUCAAAUUGUCAAUGUCAUCAGAGGAGACGUACUUCAAGACCACAAUUUUUUUUGCUAUUAGAGGCCAACAAACCCACCCAGGCAAUGAUCAACUCCAACUCGCAGUAUUUCGAAGUUGUCUCGGAGGCCAUGAAUAGUUAUCAACAAUAAUCAAAUACACACAUUGUUAACGAAUUCGACAAACAUAACCACACAUUCUUUAUAACAGAGACCCAAGUCCCACUUCAAACACUCAAACCACCUGAAAGGUUUAGGGUCAUGUUACAAUCCCAAAAUUAUGAUUGUAGUGAAUAUCAGACUAAACACUUACCGUGUUCUCAUGCAAUGACUGCAUGCAAAUCUAUUAAUAUUGAUCCAAUGAAUUAUGUGCAGACACUAUUUGUACAAAACAACAUUUUGGAAGUCUAUGACAACUCCUUUGGUUUACAAACACAUGAAUUAACGUGGCAAAAAUAUGAAGGAGAUAAGUGGGGUCCGAUUUCAAUUCGCAUUCCUUGUUGAGAUGGAAGAUGUGGAAUCUGUCGACAACCCAUAACAGAAAAAACUAUCCCAACAUACCUUCAUCUUCAACCUUUCCUUAAACAAAUAUUAUUGUUUAUUUUAUUUAUGAUGUAAUAUAUUUUUGUACAAAUAAAUUGUUAAACAAAAAAUAUUAUCAUUUUUAAAAAUAAAUAAAUAAUAUAAACAAAAAAAUUAUAUUUAAUAAAAUAAUAAUAUUAAAAAAUUUAAUUAUUUUUUAAUGAAAAUGAUAUUUAAAAAACAAGUGAAUUAAUUUAAAAAAUAAUAAUUUUUUAAAAUUAAAAAAAAAUAUUUUAAAAAAAUAAAUAAAUAAAAAAGGAAACGAAACCAAGGAGGAGUUGGGUUCAUCAACCCGACUUCUCUCCACACUUUAAAGAAAGGUUUAGUUUAGGAAUUAUUUUUGUUGGAGGUGUAUUUUGGAAAAAAUAAGAAGAAAGAAAGUGUAGUGUAGGGAAAAAGAAAAAACCCAAAUAUAUACCAUUAAAUCGGAAGUGUAGAGAGAUGGGGAAAAUAGGCAAAUGUUGGAUGCAUCUCCAACAAAAGUCACCUAUCUCGCAAACUUUCACCUCAACUUGCUAGUGACAUAGUUAGCUAUUUUGUACCAAUUGAAAAUGAUUACUACCACUCUGUAAGUGUCAUAUAAGCUAUCAUAGCCGAACCAAACCUAGUCGUAGUCAAAUGUGAUUCAUAGACGAAGAGAGAUAGCAAAUAUUUUGAUCUUAACCUAGUAACUGGGUUCCACAAAUAAAACGGGUAUUUUUUAUAUGAAGGUAAUGCUAAUGCAUGAUUAAAUGGCAGCAUAUGUGCAUUAGAAGGGCUAUCACCAGCAACAUAACAGAUCAACCCAUUACAGGAACCAAUAAUGUGAUGCUCCUUGGAUGGCUGAACAAUGGUACCGGUGGAUCUUAAAUAAGGUGCUGGCAUUUUUCUGUUACCUCUGAAGAUGCAAUUUCACGAAGCUUGCAUGGGAGGUCAAGGAUUUUAAGGACUUGGACACACACCUGAAUCGAACUAGAGAUUCACAGGAAGCCAUGUCACGAUUUCAACAAUGAGGUCCAUACAAAGGAUUGACAGCGGCAAUGGCGGCUGCUGCGUCAUAUUGUGACAAUUCUGGUUUUUGGUUAUAUUUGCCAUGCAAUUUGAACUGCUUGUUCCUUUGAGGCGAGCAUGUUCUUAUAUUAAUGAGUAUUAGAUUCUUGCUUCCAUCUCUGUGUCAGUUAUUGAAUAUUGAUUGUGGGAACCCAUGUGUGCGAUUUCGUGGCAAAAAGAUUGGAUUGGUGCGAAGGAGGGAAUUAUACAAUUGAGUAAAUUUUCAAUUGGUUUUAGUUAAAAUUCCAAAAUGAUAGGUUUUUUUUAUUCAUUUUUUAUUAUUAUUCAGAAAUGAUAGGUUAUUCAAAUAGAUAUAGAUAAUUCAUCCUCAAAAAUAGAUAUAGAUAAUUCUCAAACAUUUGACAUUAACAUAUUACUUGUUUAGUCGCAAUCAAACAUUUGAACUUCAGACAAGGACUCAAUUACGACCUUGGGGCAAUUUUCAUACUGUCCCUAACGCGAAUAAUAUCUUGCUAAUCAUAUAUGAAUUGUGAUAGAACAAAUCAGGAGAGAAGAAUCCUACCACACCAGAGUUUUGAAACGAAAACUAAACCACAAUAAGAUUAUUUCAAUUGCUAACAUGGUGAAACACUACGUUCCCAGUCAGAUGAUGCGCAAGGAAAUUAGAUGCAUUUCUUACUAUUGAUAUCAUACUAUGACAAAGAACAUACAGACCUUACAACAUUUUGCAUCAAUUGACUAGGUUGUUAAUAGAGCAGCGCAUGCUAACCAACCAGCCAAGUGACUUUUUCCUUUUCAAUGGAAAACCAACCACACUGAUUGGUCUGUCAUUCCCAAUGAACCUCCCUCAAAUUAUGUUGCUUUCUCAAAACCACCAGCUAUCUGCAUAUGCAGCCAUCCCGGCUGUGAUCCUUGAGCAUAUCCCCUGGCCGGUUGUGAUCCAAAUAUUAUUCCGGCAAGGUCAAAUGGCUGAGUGCCAACCUGAACCAACAAAAUAGCUGAUCAAAAUCACAGUAUUAUGAAAAUAAACAGUCCCAAAAAACAAUGAUGUGUUAAAGAUAUGUUCUAGGUCUAGCUAACAAUACUUAGACGAACAUAUUGCCCCAAGAACAUCACACUCUAUGAUUCAAUGAAAUCCAUGCGAGUCUUAGCCCCGAUUUAGUUCAUCCUACAUAACAUAGAUUUGACUCGAUCAUAAAGAAUGUGUUGAGAAGAGUGAGUCAAAGAGAGCAUAACUAGCUCUUUUCUUGUCCCAAUUGAGAUUACUUUCAAUGAAUAAAAAAAGCCAUGCUGCAUUUGCACCUAGAGGUAUAUUUGUACAAGUAUAAACGAAAAAGUGUAAGUAAAAAAAAAAAAUGAUCGUAGAAUAAAUUUGAAGCCAAAAGUAGUAAAUUCAUUAUUGGCUCACAUUACUUGCAUAGAAAAGUUAAUUUUGCUGUCACUUGGAAAAGCUCAUUAGGCAUCUUCACUGAUUGACUUUUUUUGGCAUAAUUCAUUUUGUAGUUAAUUCAUUAGAAAAAAACUAAUUUUAUUUUUCUCUUAAUCUUUCAAAUAACACAUGCCAAAAGACCAUAGAUAAGUAACCAGUUUGCAAGAAUCUCUAAAUUCUUUGGGAAGGAAAAUCAAUAUUAAUAACGAGAAUAGAAAAUUUCAUGAAUGAUGCAGAAAACUGUGCAGAAAUCAUACACAAAAAAUGGACAGUAAAAGCCAAAGAUAUAAUUCAUGAGCAGCAACACCAGAUAAACAUGAAUCCCAAGGAAGUUAGCAAUUAGUAAACCAAGAUGCAGAUCUGCUGUGCAGGAUAGUGAGAGCUUGCAGAACAUUUUCUAGAAUCAAGUAAAUAUACUUAGAUACUUGACAACAGGAUUCACUUGAGCUGAGGAUUCAUGCAUCUCUGUACAAUGAUACAUGUAGAUCACUGUAUAGUGAUAAUGAUAAUUUACAUUUACAUGAAACCAAUCUGGAUGACAAUCAACAAGGUCAAAGGACUAUGGGUUCACAGAAUUCACAAAAAGAUUCAACUCAUUUUCUUAAGUCUCUUCUACUCGGGAGGCUUUUAGACACCCAAAAAAGUUUGCAAUGUUUGGAUAACUUACAAUAACUGCCACCCGUGCUGGAAUCAGACAUUCAAAAUCACAAUUUCAAAUUGAUCCGGUGCUGUUGCAUCAUUAUAUUCUUUUGGUUGGAAAAUGAAUUUUACCAUAUCAUUGCAAUUUCUAUCAAUCUUAAUAAUUUAUGUUUUGUUUUCCCACUACCUUUAUUCUUUCCUUAUCCAUGUACGAUACACAUCAUAGCUUGCAUCGAUGUACACCAAACCAGCACUGGGCAUUUCCUGGGUAUUCUAAAACGCCAAUAAUACCCCACCAUGUAACAUUUUGCUUAAGAUUUUCUAAAUGGAAUGAAUUAUGAACGGCUUUGGCGUUAGAUUAGCAUACUUAUGUCAAUGCACUUACUUCUUUUGAAGGAAAACAUUCAAUAGUAGGGCUCAUGCUCAAUCUCGAAUUAACUGCCUCAAGCUUCAUAGAAAGGAACUGCAAAAAAACAAAAAACAAAAAAAAGUUAUUUUGCACAGAAUUAGUGUAUCAAAUCAUUCAAAAUCAUGUCAAAAUAUUUAGAUAGACGUUCACAUGUUUGGUCUCAUAUUUAGAAAUUAAUUUUGAGUCGAAAAUCGAUUAUGAAUUAAAGCAAUUUAAAGUAUUUUUUGUGUUGGAUUAAAAGUUUUAUAUCGAUUUUCAUUUCUAAUUUUUGAAAUAAAAACAUAAAUCAUUUCACUUUUAAAAUUUAUUUUAAUCAACAUCAAUUUCAUUAAAAAAAAAUCAGUUAAUUUUGUAAAAGUUGUUCAGCUAAGCACACAAUUAGAUUCAUUUCAGUGGCGGAGGAUAAAAGCAGGAAAGAGCAUUGAGAGACAGAACAGAAGGAUGGAUGAAGAAGAUACCCACCUCAACCUGAUGCUGCAGUGACUGGAUAUAAUUAAUUAUCUCAUCCAGCACAAGUGCUUUACCAAUUACCUAAACGGAAAAAUUACACAAUAACACGAAACGAAACAAAUAAUUAAAUAAAAAUGGAAUAAAAUUUAGCACCGAAGAAACUGAAAUAUCAUGUUUAGUUAUACCUUGUUGCAGCCGGGAACUAUAUCUUGAAGAAUUUUCAUCCUCUCACUGAUCUUUUCUCUCCUAGCCUGCCAAAACAAGUGUAAACAACACUCUUUCAAAGGUCAUUGAAGAUAUGAAGAGAAAGAGAGAGAGAGAGAGAGGUGAAUUGUGAAUUACUCUCUCAGCGAGACUGUGGCUAUCGGUGGCUUGGCCUCUUCUAGCUCGCACGUGUAUAUAGUCUUGCUUAGGUGGCUGCUCGGAAGAACUAGGUUUCGCCGUUUGUUCGGGUAACUUGUUACCGGCUACUGAAGUCGCGUCCACUUCACCCGCCUUCAAGGCACCGUUUUGAUCCUGGGAUCCUGAUCCUGAUGAUUUGAUAUGUUUAUUGCUGCCACAAUCAGUCUGUUCGAAUCCCAAACAGAAGAGGGUGUGAGAAAUGGAUUAGAAAUAAUUGAAAUGGUGGAAAUGAAGAGAGAAAGAGGAAAGAACCGAGGGGGAGAGGUGUCUCUUGUUACUGGGAGUGUGGUCUGUGGGAAAAUGAGAGGGCCAAAUCUCGGACAAGGAAGGGUUAGCGGAAGAGAAUGUGGAGUCGUUGAUGAGAGGAGGUUCCAUUGAGAUUCAUUCAAUUAGGCAAUUAGCUAAGCUACUACCAUUGUUUUGUUGGGUUUCUUCGUUUUCGUAAUUGAUUUAAUAAUGAGUUGCCAAUUCAGAUAUGACGAUGGAUGUGUGAGUGUGAAAGGUUAGUUUCCGAUAUUUUCUGCCUCGGCCCGGACUGGGAGUGGGAGCACUGAACAGCAAAGGCAAAGGCAAAGGCUGUGUGUGACUGUGGCCUACUGCGCCUACCGUGCUACUUAACUAUUUCUUCCCACUUUUAUCUCAUCCCAUCCUCCUAUCUUUUUUAAAACAAAUAUUUUACGUGUCAUAUUCUACCCCUUUCCUUUCAUGCACGAAUUAAUUUAAUUCAAAUUAAAUAACUCUUUUUUAUUUUAUUUUAUGAAAGGUAUUAUAUGAUUUAAUUUGUUGGCUCUCUUCCUUGUAUUCCCAAUUAUUAAGAUAUAUAUAUAUAUAUAUAUAUAUAUAUAUAUAUAUGAUGGGUUAGAUUAUGAUCAAUGUUUCUUAUAAGAUUUAAAUUAAUUUGUUUGAGUAGGUUUGAUUUAGUGUAUAUUUGAUUUGUAGUUGAAAUUAUUGUGACAAAUAUUUUAAUAUAAAUCUAACGUGUAAAAAUAAUUAACACAAAAUAAAUAAGAUUGUUGGUGGGUUGGUUUCAAUCGAUUUUUAUUAAAUUUAGGAUUCAAUUCAAUCAAAUUUGAUCGGUUUAGUUUUCAUAAUUUUUUUUUGGAAUUUAACCAAACUCAUUCAUGAUCGAUUUGAUUUGGUUCAGGUCAACGAGUUACUCAUUUAAAUUUGAUUUUUUUUCUUAGAAUUAUUGUUUUAUAUCAUGAUUUAUCUAAAUAUUCAAUAUAAUUAACACAAUAUUAUCAAAUGUCUGAAAAUAAUAAAAUUGAUUCAUUUAAUAUCAUAAAAAAUAAUAUUCUAAAAUAGACUAAUACAAAUUAAAAUAAAAAAUUCUUUAACGAGAUUUGCUAUAAUAAUUUGAAUCACAACUAUUUCCUAUAAAUUAAUUUCUUACAAUAAAUUUUAUUCUAACCAGAUUUGUUGCAACCAGAUUUAAUAAAACAAAUAAAUAAAAUAUAAUCCAUUAAUAUUAUAAACAUAAUAAAAAAAAUAAAUAUAAAAAAGUUAAACAAAUAACAAUGUACUUGAGAGUAAUAUCUUAAAAAGUUUCACGGUUGUCGUUCCAACACUUGCAAUCCCAAUGUUAAUCUAAAAAUUUUGAUUGGUUUGAUUCAGUUUUGAUCGGAUCUAUAAAUCUAAAUAUGUGAUCCAACCCGUACAUGAACAGUUUUAAUCGAUUCGGUUUGAUUUGGACUCAAAUACAUAAAUAAUCUAACCCAAAGUGUUCAAAUCGAUCUAAGUUAAUUCAGAUUCGUAGGUAACUCAUAACAGUGAAAAUUCCUAAAAAUAAAGAUGAUAAUCCGUCUAAUAAAAUUACUUUUACUUUAAACAUAACCUUACAAUCGUAAGACAACACAUGCUCUUAGUUUGUGCCUACCUAACACAUUAUUAAAAAUUAUCCGAUUGAAAAAGUCUCUAAAAUUGUUGUCACCCUAGAUAGAAUGAGUGUACUCACAUGGCGGGGUAAUCCUGAGCAAAAGGAAAAAUGUUGAAGUUCCACAUGAAGUAAAAUUACUGUCAAGAUAAACUAUAUAAAUGGAAGUGUAGGCAUGAGUGUCGAAUAGCUUUGACUUAUUUUUUGCAUUCAUGACUUUCUUCCUGGCUUCUUCUCUUUGAAUCGUAGAGCAGACAAACAAUAAUGACAGGAGUUCCGGGGACAUAAGAAUAUGACUAUGAAGAUCUUCAUAUUCAGGACCAGGACUUGCUAGCAAUUGGAAAAUUUUGUCUUCUUCAACACAUUUACAAAGUAUAGCAGCAUCAACAGUGUGUGGACGGUGCACCUCAAGUUCAUUCCACCUUCUUUUUAGAUUGCCAAGUAAUUGAACAAAGGGUUUACCUGAUUGUUGCAAGUUGACAAUGUCUUGUUGGAGUUCAAAGAUGCGAGCAGAGUUAUAUUGUUGACCAUACAUAUCACGAACUGUGGUCCAUAGUUGCGUAGCAGAAUCUGAAUAGCUGAAAAUCUCAGCAAGAUGUGGGCUCAUGGAAUUAAGAAUCCAUGAUCGCACUUUUUGGUCUUUGGACAACCAUGAUUCAUGAUAAGGAGAUGCUUCAUCUGGAGGAGAACUAUUCUCAUCAAUGAAACUCAAUUUAGAUCUUCCACCAAGAGCAAGAGUUAUGGCUUUUGACCAAGGAAGGUAAUUGAACUCAUUUAGUACAACAGAGCUCAAUCAUUGAUUAGGAUUAGACUCAAAUUCUAUUCCAACAGCCACACUAGUGGAACCUGUAGCUACUGCAAAAGGCACACCAGGAAAACUUGUAGCUCCUGAAGGCAAUAUAUGCGAAGAAGAAUGAUCUUCUGCCAUAGUUUGGCAAGAAGAAAAAAAAUCAAACAAAAGGAACAACCCCUCUUGAUACAUGAGAAUUUAAAUACUGUGUCAUGCUUUUAGACAUGUAUUCUGUGCCAUUACCAGAACGAAGGAUUUGGAUUUUGCUGGAAAAUUGUUUUAAGACAAGCAUGUGAAAAACCUUAAAAACAUCCAUAACCUCUUCUUAAUAUUUGAUCACUCGCACGUGUCCAUUGUUGCAAACAAUGGGAAAUGUAUGUUAAGAUGUUUCUUAUUGUCCAAAUAAUUUACAUAGUUUAUAACUUUUUACCUAUCAUUUAUGUUAAUGUACAGAGUGAAUUAUUGCCCUCCCAUGCUCGGGUCAAUAAAAAAAUAUUGAUUCAAUUGUUGAUGAGAUAAAUUGCACUUAAUCGAAAGUUUAUGACAACAUAUAAUAUAUUAAAUGUUAUGAUGAAUGUCUUGAUUGUUACCUUACCUAAGAUAUCUCCAAAAUUAGCCUUAUGUAUUUAUGUUAUUAUGUAUAUAUAUAUAUAUAUAUAUAUAUAUAUAUAUAUAUAUAUAUAUGAAACUCGUGUAUGUAAAUAAGCAAAUUAAGAAAAAGAGACUGAAGCGUGUCAAGUAACUAGAAGAGGGCAGGACACGAAAGGGGAUAACAAACAGCCAAAGAAUAAAAUAUAACCAUUCUUUUUCUUGUUUGAGAAAAUUUCAAAGGCAAAUGGAAUGACCAUGCUAUCUUCUUUUCCUUUUGGACUUGAUUAUCCUUCAUUCAGUUCGAACCAUACCAGUUGUCAAAGGACUCAAGGCCUAGUCCAAGGUUCCAAAUUUUGCUUGGUCAAUUGGUGGCACAAGUUUUCAAAAUAUUAGUCGCUUACAUUACAUAUCAAUCAGUUGGAUAGAAAUGAAUAGACCCUUGACUUGAUUCUUCUUGUUAUAUUCAUAUUCCUACUUUGUAUGGUUAGCAUUUAGCAGAGUGAUAUCUUUGAUGGGGUAUGACAAAAAUUAGCAUGCAAUAAUCUACCUGUAAAUAUGCAGUUUCAUAUACAUAAUGAAAUGAAGAGAAAAUAAAUAAGUUAAAAAAGUUAUAUUUUCCUUAUAACACAGUAUGAUAUUCUUAAAAAUGGAAUAACUUCUAGUAGAUCGAAUAGCAGUUUCCUUAUAACACAGUAUGAUAUUCUUAAAAAUGGAAUAACUUCUAGUAGAUCGAAUAGCAGUUUUCUAGUAGUGUCUGUAUGUAAUUUUUUUUUCCUUCAAAUAGACAAGUGUUUUUUUUUAUCAAUGAUAUAUUCUAGCCAAAAUAAUACUGAAUUUUCAUAUUUACCAAGAUUAUGAUAUAAACAACUUACAUUUAUUAUCGUGAAGUUCUUAAAAGAUACUACUUUUAUAUAGUGGUUUCCCCCACCGAAAAAAUAUAUAUAAAACCAAUUAAAUACGUUAUUAGUAGAUUUGGGUAAUUGACUUUGGGCGACAUUGUACUCAUAGGAGCACCAACCCAGGAUUAACGUGUGCAUGAAAUCAUUGUUAUCCUAAUUGCAAUGAUGUUGGGUCAUUUCCUUCAUUGCAAUUUGAAAGAACCAUAAUAUCCUGCUUCUAACUUUUACCUAACAUUGCUUAAUUGAGGUCUUAUGUUGAAUAUGAUUCCAAAAAUCGGACCCUAUAAAAAAUUCUCCUCUCUACCAACAUUCAUGAGAACCGCAACAAAAUGAGGACCCCUUUUAGUUUGCAAAAAGCUCGAAAUGAAUCAUUAACAAAAGUUAAAAAUAAGAUAAAUUAACAAGAAAAUAUAGGAUUUGCAUCCUCUUACAAUUAAUUAAUUGUACUGCAUAAAAAGGUACGUAGCUGUGGAAAGCAAAAAUUAAUUUAAUGGUUGAGGGACUUCUUCAAUAUAAAAACGAUGGGGUAAAGUCUAAUUAAUUAUUGAAAAGAAAUUCAAAACACCAGAAUGAUGUGUACCCCCUUUAUGCUGCACAAAUCAUCAGCCACCAGAGGAUUAGAUUAGAUUCUACCACAAUUUUUCUUUGUCGUUUAUCUUAGAUCUCAUUCUUUGUAUUUUGUUUUGCACAUAAUUCGAAACAAAGCUAAUCGAAAUCCAACAUUAGAUUGCCUCUGCUUUAACCAUCAAAUUCAUCUUUGCCGGUGUUUGAAAUCCCAUUUCAUAUUACUUGGUAAAUACUUAAAUAUCAGAGUUUAAUUUGUUAUAUAUACUUUGCCGUGCACUGCUUAAGGGAAAUCUAAUUUCAUAUUGUUGUUAGAAUAAUUUAUUAUUUAUGUACUCUAAUUUAGAUUUUUAGUUAGAAAAAUAAAAGAGCAGAUAAGUUAUUUAUACUAUCAGUUAAUAAUUAAUAACCUGACCGAUAAAAAUGAUGAUAUUUAAAAGUCAUUAUAAACAUUAAUUAAGUUCAGUUGAUAAUGCCAAAAAAAAGGAAGUUCAGUUGAUAAGGAGAAUUCAUUUAAGGAAGAAAAAAACUCUCAUAAUAUCUACAAUUUAUUAACAAAAAUUCAUCCUAUUGUCUUGCUUAAAGAAUAUUAAAUUCAUUAAUUACAAUUGAGACUAAUAGGCAUUAAUUGAUUACAUCCCUACUGCAAUAAUAUUAAUAAUAAUUGACCAUACAGUGAGUGUUAUUUUUUUCAAUGUAUUUUUAGUAUUUUUUUAGAGAAUAUUUUUAGUAUCUUAAAAUAUGCCAAAAAUUUAUUUUAGUUUCUUUAAGAAAAUAAUAUGAUUUUAGUUUAUAUAUUUUAACAGAAAUAUAUGUUUCUUGUCUCUAAUAAAGUAAUAAUUAACUAAAACUACAUCACUUUUAACAAAUAUGAAAAAAUAAAAUACCAUUUAAAUUUGUAUAUAUUUUAUCCGUUCUUUUUCUUAUCAUUUGUGUGACGCGGAAGGUGUUCAGUGUAAGGAAAGAUUUGAUCCUAAAUUUGAACCUAGAACAAAAUGCCCAAGUGUCUCUGCCAGUUUGGUUGAUUCGAUGUUAUACGACAAUAGUUGACCAUAACAAAAUGUUAUGCGUCGAUGCACUUUACGCAACCACUUAAUUAAAAUUAUUGUCCAUUGAGUACUCCAUCUUAGAGAUCUAAAGUUGAAAUUCUAUUGGGACCAACUCCAACUGAAAUAGAACUUGUUAGAAGAGAAUAUUAUCUCAAUUUGCAAUUUUCAACCCCAAGUUAUUAAGAUGUAACUAAAAUACUCUUUUCAAAAUGUUAGUAUAAACUAGUAAAUUAUUGUGAGUUUACUACCAUAAUGUCCACACAUCUACUUUUUUUUUUAAAGGAGUAUUUUAGUGAUUUAACUAUGAUUUUCUUAAAAUAUAUUUUAUUAAAAUGCUUCUGCACACAUUAAUAAUAUGAAAUUAGAGUUAUUUUUUGAAAGGAAAACAAUAUUCCCAUUAAUAAUUACUAAAAUUUAAUUUAAUAUAUAAAUACUCUUUUUAAAAUAAACCGGUGAUUUAUUAUUUUUUUAUAAAUUCACAAUAUAUUUAUUUAAAUUUAAUUAGAAUGCACUAAUGAUUUAUGAAUAAAAAAUUAAUAUACUAAUCAUUUAUAUAAUGUUUACACUAUUAAUUAAUCAUAAAUCGUUAUGUAUCAUAAAAAUAAUUACUUCAAAAGUCAUUUUUAGGAUAAUUUCUAAUUGGUAAACAGGUUGACAUUUUUUAUAUUGACAGUAUAAAAAGCUUAAACUAUUUUAGUAACAUUCAUAAAAAUAGUUUAUUCAAUUUUUUAUGGUACCUGGUUAUUAUAAAAUAUAUAGUUACUCGUAGCCAAGUUAUCAGGUUCAAAAUUACCUCUAUUUUUUUCUUUCUAUUUCCUUUAUUACUAAGAUUUUGAUAAAAUAAAUAAAACGGAAAUGGUAUAUAUCAAAUGGAGAGUAACAACUAUUUUUUUCAAAGCUUAAUAACCAAAGAAAGGAAGUAAAAAAGAAAUAAAAUAAUAUUUUCUCAAUGAUCAGUUUCAAAUAUUUGUUCCUAGGAUUUUUAUCCAUGGUAAUUAUUGCUCUAUAUUUGUAUGGGUUGAGUGUGAACAUCCUUUUCUUGAGUUGAUGUGUCAAUGAAAUUGAUAAUUUAUUUGUUCAUUAUUAACAAAUAUUAACCGUAAGUUUAUUUUAAAAAAUUGUUAAUGAAAAUAAUUUAAAUCCAUAAUCUUAUUUUUCUCCCUCUAGUUAUUAAGUCAAUUUUAAUUUUUUUUUCUCUAAUUAUUUGGUAAAUUUUAUAACUUUUUUUCUCUUUAUUAAAUCAAUUUUAUAAGUUGACGACCACAAUCCAUGCUAUGGACACCGAGUUGGUGGCAAUGAUAAAUGCUACCCCAGAUUGUGAAAUGUGGAGCACUUGAGAGAGGUUGAGAAGUUUCCAGGCUCAGUAUAGCAUUAUUGCCUAUCUGGUCAAUUAUGAAAUCUUUUGCCUACAUAACCAUCACUCGCCAUUACCCAAAAGUGAUAAUUAGCCAAGCAAAAUUAAAUAACCCCGCGAAAGACUCUGUUUGCCAUGCCCAAUUAAAGUUUUCCAAUUUCAAUAUUUCAUGUGCCCCGCGGAAUACCGGAAUAAUUAAACUAGCUAGCUAUUGGUUUUUCCGUGUUCAUUGAGCUUUAGGUUAUAUUUAACUAAAUUAACUUAUCUGAAAAGAUAAUUGGUACUUGAAAAUAUAUUUUAUUAAAUUAAAAUAUUUGUUAAAAUCAACCGUUAAAAUAACUGAAAAAUAUAAAACAAUAAAAAAUAAUAAAUUAUUUAUUUAUUUAAAAAAGUAACAAGAAAAAUUAAUAAAUAUAUUAAAAAUAAAAGUAAAAUAAAAAAUAAAAAAAAUCAAAAGCUCACAUUUUAAAAAAUAUUACUUCAAGUAACAUUUUAAAAAAUAUUAAAAAUUAUUAAAAAGUUACUUAAAAAAAGUUUAUUUACCAAACAAUUAAAAUUAUAUUUAAUAAAAUAUUUAAGUUUCUAACUUUUUUAUUAGCUGAAAAUCUUAGUUAUUCAGUAAAUAAAUUGUUUUUAGUAUUUUCUCAUUAGCAUAUAUUAUUUUUUUAAAUAUUAUUUGAAGUAGUGUUUUUUAAAACGUUAGUUUGUAACUUAUAAUUUUUUUAUAUUUUUUUUCAGAUUUAUCCUAAAUAUUUGUAUUCAUUUUUCUUGUUAUCUUUUUUAGAUAAAUCAUUAUUUAUUAUUUUUUGUCAUUUUAUACUUUUCAACUACUUUAAUAAUUAACUUUAUCGAAUAUUUAUAUUUUAACUACCAAUUAAUUUUUUAAUUUUCAACUACCGAUUAAUUUUUUAGCUUUCAAUUAGUUUUUCAACUUUCAACUAUAAUUUUAUAAACAUAAUUAAAAUAAAUUUUUUUCGACUAAUAAAAAAAAACUAAAAAUGAACUCAAAUGUAUUGUGAAACAUAAUCUUAAUUUUACACACUUGAUUGAAUUUUGAAUAAGCUGUUUGGAUUGGAACAAGCUUCCUAAGUCACAAGUCAAUACUUUUCCAGCACAUUCUAAAAGCACAUGCCUUAGCAUCAAAAGUGAUGUACUACUACUACCCAUGCUUAAUGGCAUUUUCCACGGUUCCAUCGGAUUUUAGGGUAUGUUUGAGUAAACUUUUCUAUAGGAGAACUAGAAAAUAAGAAGAAAAAAUAAAAUAAAAUUUUCUACAAAUUAAAAUUAACUCUCGUUUAGUUAAGUAUUAAGUAAUUUGUAGACGUUUUCAUUUUUUAAGAAGAUAUAUAAAAUAAUUUUUACAAAUUAACUAAUGAAAAUUUAAUUUUAAUUCAUAGAAAAGUUUAUUUUUUUAUUCUUAUUUUUUUCUCAUAGAAAUGCUUCUAAAAAACUCGCCAAACAGGACUUUAGUUCUUUUAAAUUAUUUAUAAAAAAAAAAAGUAGAUAAGACACAACAUUCGGUCAUUAGUCUUAUAUUUUACUUGUUAUCAUUAAAAUUUGAGGGCUUAACCAUCUUGGUCUCAGCAGUAUCAUUAAUCGAUUUCCUAUUAGAAUUGAUAUAUAUUUAGGAGCGUUAAAAACAAAUUUAUGACGCCACAAAUUUUUAUUUGAAAAUUUAGCCCAAGUUAAAAUUCACCCCUGCGUUGUAUCUGAGCAUUAAUGUGGCUUUUAAAAUUAUAUGAACGACUUAUGCAGCGAUGUGAGUUAAUUCAUACGAAUUGGUUUAAUCAACAGAGAAUCAGAUAUCAUUCAAUAAUGUUCUACAAAUGUUUUAGAUCCAUUCUCUCUAUUUUUAAGGGAAGGCCUAUUACUAUCUUGCUUUGGCUUUUGGCACGUACUUCCCCUCAAAGUUUUUUUGUAAAAAAAAAAUAAAAAUUGUAACUUGGGUGGAAGAAUCAUAACCUUAUGCUUAAUCAAUUUUUAUUAAAUCAGUUGAAUGUCCUUAUCACUAUAACCGACCCAGAAAAGAGGAUUUGAUCAAUUUGAUUGUGACGUUACUCAAUCAAUGGAGAGGAGAUAGCGAAAUUGUAAGAAGAAAAUCAGUUGUCCCUGAUACGUGGCAAUUAACAGGGAAUGAUGCUUGCAAAAUGUUGGUAUCAAUUUCUAGACUAUAUUAUAAACUAUAAAGUAUAUGUGAAUGUCCCAGACCACGAUGAGGAAUGUGACUCUGUGAGUAACCUGAGUCCAAGUUUCUGGCCCUAAAUUCUAUAGUGUCUUUCUAAAGAAGGACAUCCUCAAAGAUAAGAUUGCCAAAUAUGGAUUGAGAUUUAAUUCUAUCAUGCCAAAUGCCAAGCAUGGUGUCGAGCAAACGAGAAAGUUCAAAAGAAGUAGCUCACUAAUAAAUUUAGAGAGUAUUAUCAGGACAAUAAUUAAAAUAAAAUUAUAGAUAAAUAUUCAUUUUUAUUUUUCAAUGUGUAAUUUAUUGAUAAUUAUGUUUCUAAAAUAUGAAAAUACAAAAUUUAGUUUUUGAAAUAGUAAAAAAUGCGAUAAAUAUAUCUCGUUUGUCACCAUUAAUAAAAUAGCCUACAUGACAUAUAAAGACAAAUUUGUUAUUGGUCAUCUUUAAUUGUCAGUAUAGGAAAAUAUUUGUUAUAUAAUAUUUCUUUGACUUUAUAUAACGGAAAUAGACAUUGGUGUAAUAUAAUUCUCCCAAAAUUUUGUUACAAAUAUUAUAAUUUUUUUAAAAUUAUAAUAAUUAAUCACAAUCUAUUAUUAACGACCGAAUAUAUUUGUCGUACAUUUUAUACUUUCAAAGACUAAAUUUUACAUUUUUAUUUUUCAGACAUGCAUUUAUUAGCAAAGUGGGAAGAUAAAAAGUAAAAAGAUAUUAUUGACAAAUAUUUCAUUAUGCUGACAAUUAGAAGUGGUCACAUCGGCCAUCAGAUAUGGUCACAAUUAGAGAUGAUCACAUUGACAAUCAUUUCAGCAACAAAUUCAUCUCUCUCUGAUAACGUAAACUAUUUUAUUAACGGUGACGAACGAAAGUUAACGGGCUGAAUACAUUUGUCGCACUUUUUACAUUUUUUCAAUGACUAAAUUUUAUAUUUUCAUUUUUUAGGGACACAUUUAUUAGUCAAUUACUAUUUAUCCUAAAAUUAUUUAUUAAUUUCUCAACGAUAUACUCCAAGAAUUCUUUUAAUCUUAUUAUCUGCAUAAAAAGUUUCGAUGCGUUUUAAAAAAUGGCUAGUUAACUAUCUGAUGAUUGUCUGCCUCUUAGUCUUAGGUACACUUGAAGUGGUAGACUGCGCCGCAUAUUCAUUAUUCAAUGGCAGCAGCAGCUACAAAACCUACCGGCAAAAAAAUAUAUAUAUAUAUAUAUAUUUAAAAUCACCGUUCGAGUAUUUUUUAAAAUCUUUAAAUCUUUAACAAACUAUUCUUUAUUGAUCACUGUUUUACUUUAUUUGUUAUUCUGCAAAAAAAAAUGUCCUCAUUUUGCUUUCAAUCCAUACCAAUUUCUCUCUGAUAAACCUACUAAAUGGACCUCAUGGUAAGAAUUUUGAAUAAUUUACACAGUCUUUUAAAUUCUAAUUUCAUUGUCACUACUGUAAUAAAAAUAAGCUGAUUAAAAAAACUGUAAUAAACAUAUAGUUCCCGAUGAUAAUUACCACAACUGAUUGGUAAAUUGCACUCAACUUUGCAAGUAAGGCUUGAAUUCGACAUUUUAUUUAAAAGAUUCGAGCUCAACAAAAUUUAUGAAUAGUUAAUUUUUUUUACCUUAUUAAACUUAAUUUUGUAAUGUUGUGACAUAGUAUAAUAAUAGUUUAAAUUGGGACUUUUCCUGGAUAGUGAAAUAUUGCAAGAAUCCGUCCAUUCGAACCACUGACUAUCCUAAAGCCCAAUCAACAUACAAAUUAAAUGGGUUGAACAUGGCUACGCAUACUUAGAGCCCAUGGCUGCGAACAUGACAAUAGAAAUGAAAAUUGGUCAGGCUUGAUGAAGAAAUGUUCUAUUUCUGUUUGUGUAUUAAUUAUGGAAGGACAAAAUUAAUUUGAUUAAAAAUUAUAUUUACAGUUAAGGAUGUAUCAGAAUAUAUGCUAAAUAUUGUUUUCACUGACUCAAGGUCUCGAUCUAUCUUGAACAAAAAGCUAUUAUAGAUAGUCAGUCAUAUUUUUCUCUAGAUAUUAAUCAUAAAAAGUUUGUGAAUAUUUCACGUUAUGGUGAAAAAAAUGGUAGUUUAAUUAAUAAAUACCCAUAUUUUUUUAUGAAUAAUAUGAAGAAAAAUUAAAACUCUAUAAAGAAAUACAAGUUAAAUAAUCUCUAAGCGCAUAACAAUAAAAUCUAGAACAAACUAAAAAAAAAGGGAUUUUUUUUUUAAAGGAAGGAAACGGUGCCAAAGGAAAUCUAACUCGGGUCAAGCACAUUCUGAAAAACUGAAACCUAUUCCGCAGCAUACAUUACCCAUUACUGUAAGCAGAAAUGCUAUUAACAUACUUUUUAUUAUGGGUUUAUCUAAUUGAACCCAGAUGAAAAAUGGGAUUAAAGAACUUCAUCUUUUAUAAUCAAUAAAAUUUAAAUAAUUAUCUUAUUUUAUUAUUAUAGUUAAUGCAUUGUCUUUUGUUUCUCAUGUCAUAUAACUCAUUUAUCACACAUUUUAUUUUAUUGAUACAAUUUAUAAGAAUAACACAUUAAUACUUUAUUUUCUUUCCAAUAUUUUCAUUAUAUACCUUCUUUUAUUUUUUAUUUUUACCGAAUAUACCUUCAUUUAUCACACACAUUUGUUAUUUUUAUUUUAUUCAUUUCGAAACUUAUAGCUAGGUAUAAUACUUCUAUUUUUUUUUCUAAUGUUGUCAUUGUAAUUCUAAAUAAAAAAUAAAGAUAAAGAGUAACAUUGUUAAUUAAAAAUUAUAAAAAUUAAAAUAACUCUUUAUAAUUUGAUAAAAAAUAUAAAAAAUGUUACUCUUUAAUGAUACAGAGUAUAUGACAUGAGAGAGAAAAGGAUUCUCAACAUAUAGAGUUAGUUAUGCACUAACGAUUUUCUAUUAGUUAGAAGCAGUUAUAGUUAAUUGUAUUUUUUGCUAGUUAGAUUGACAUCGAGAACUGAUUGUAUAUAAGUUAAAACACAUGCAUUCAUCAUUCAUUCUUUCAAUAAGAUUCAUUCAAUUCAUUUGAUCUACUAUUGUUUUCUCUACAACCUUUUGCUUCUUUCUAUGUUUGUUUAUGUUCAUCAUGAACUUUAUGAUGGUAUCAGAGCUCUUCACUUGAAGACCUUUGUUGCACAUCCUCUGAUUUCGUUUUCUUUUUCAUCUUUGAUCAUCAUGAAUCAGAGUCAAGAUACUCUGCAAGAUUCAUCCCAAAAUGUUCAUAGCCCUUACUACUUACUCCUUAGUGAGAAUUGAGCUACGCCAUUGGUUUCACCUGUCUUUGAUCCCAUGAAUUAAAAUUCAUGGAGUAGGUCAAUGCCCACUACAUUGAGUGCAGAGAAUAAAGUAGAGUUCAAUGAUGGAACAAUUCACAGGCCUACGUCGAACCAUGUGUUGUUUCUAGCGUAGAAGAAAUGCAAUAAUAUGGUGGUUUCAUGGUUAGUGCAUUCUGUGUCAACUUCGAUUAGGCAAAGCAUUUUGUGGCUUGAUGAUGCAGUAGACAUUUGGAAAAACUUAAAGUCGCGAUACUUCCAAGGAGAUUUGCCAAGGAUCUUUGAUUUGCAACGGGAAUUAGUAACAAUCAAACAAGGUGAUUCUUCCAUUACAUAAUACUUUACAAAAUUGCGUGUAAUAUGGGACGAAUUAGAAAGCUAUAAACCAUAUUCUUUUUGUGUUUGUGCAACUAAAUGUACCUGCAAUUCAGUUAUUGAUAUAAUGCAAAGAAAAAUCUAAUACCAGGAGUGUCUUCCUCAAGUGCACCCGUUGUUCAUAUUUCCAACGACUCUCUUUCAAGUUAUUCACUUAUUCAUGAGUCUUAAAGUACUUCCUUAGAUUUGGUUCCAUUUUAUCAUCCUCUUCGAAAGUCUGAAAGACAAAUACUAAGGCCACAAAAGUUUCAUGACUUUCACAUCAAGUAUACAUCAACUGUUAUCACUUAUUAACCAGACAUUAGAUAUCCUUUAUCCUUAGUUUUAUCUUAUGACAAAUUGUCACCAUCUUAUCAUAAUAUUAUCCUGCCUAUUACUGCUUAAACUAAGCCUAAGAGUUAUACUAAGGCAGUCGAGUCUGAUCAAUGGGUCAAGGCUAUGCAAGAUGAAAUUGCAGCAUUGGAAAGAAAUCAUACUUAGGUUGUCACUGGCUUGCCUCUCAACAAAUCUACUAUUGGAUGUCGUUGAAUUUAUAAAAUCAAGCAUCAUGUUGAUGGUUCUAUAGAAAGGUACAAAGCUCACCUUGUUGCUAAAGGCUACACUCAAGUCAAGGGCCAAGAUUAUCUGGAUACAUUUUCUCCUGUUGCUAAAAUAACCACAAUACUAUUGCUUGUUGCACUUGCCUCAAUCAAUAAUUGGCAUCUUAAACAACUAGAUGUCAAUAAUGAUUUUUUGCAUGAAGAUUUAAGUGAAUAAGUCUAUAUGAUCAUGCCUCUUAGAUUACCAAUAUCUAAAGCAGGCCAGGUCUGCAAAUUGCAUAUACCUUUUUAUGGCAUGAACAAUGCAGGACUAUUAACUUUUCUCAUAUCUCAUGGAUAUCAACAAUCCAUCUCUGAUUAUUCCUUGUUCACUAAGAAACAAGAUGGCUCUUUCACUGCUCUCUUUGUACAUGUUGACGAUAUAGUCCUUUUUGGAAACAAUUUGCCAAAAAUAUCCCAUAUUACACAACUGCUAAAUGACAAAUUUAAAAUCAAAGAUCUUGGCAAUAUGAAAUUCUUUCUAAGCUUUGAAGUGGCUUGUAGCAACACAAGUAACAACUUUUGUCAAAGGAAAUAUGCACUAGAGAUCCUCUUUGAUGCCAGAAUGCUUGGUUGCAAACCUAUUUCAACCUCCAUUAAUGCUAGAAUGCUUGGUACACGACUUCAUCAAAAUUCAAACAUUGUUUUGUUUGAAGCAAAAACUUCUUCAUUUAGAAGACUCAUUAGUCGCCUUAUCUACCUCACAAACACUCGUCCAAAUAUCACUUUUGUUGUUCAAAUUCUCAGCCAAUAUGUUUUACACCUUACAUCAGCUCACUAGUAAGCUAGUUUUCGCAUCCUACGAUAUAUCAAAGAUGCUUUCGAUCUUCCCUUAUUUCCUGCUACCAGUGAAAUUCAAUUGAAGGCAUUCAGUGACUUUGAUUGGGUGGGUUACGUUGACACCGCAGGUCCAUAACUAUUUUCUUUGUCUAUUUAGGCUCUUCUCUUAUAGCUUGAAAUCCAAAAAGCAAGCCACCGUUUCCAAAAGCUCUUAUGAAGCCAAGUAUCAGGCACUUACUAGUGUUGCUUGUGAGUUGCAAUGGCUCACAUACUUACUGAUCUAUGUAUAUCUUCCAAGCAAGUCUUACUUUUUUUGUGAUAAUCAUUCAACCCUUCAUAUUGUUGCCAACCCUGUGUUUCAUGAGCGCACAAAGCACAUGAAAAUUGACUGCCACAUUGUAUGCGAGAGAUUACUUUCAGGCUCGAUCAAGCUUCUUCCUAUUUUUCCAACCAAUCAACUUGCUGACAUAUUCACCAAAGCUUUAUCUCCUCAUGCUUUUCAUCUUUUACAGCUCAAGCUAGAAAUGUCUAACAUACAUUCCUCAGCUUAAGGAGGGCUUUCAGCAUAUAGAAUUAGUUAUGCACUAAUUGUUUUCUAUUAUGACAAUUAAAAGCAAUUAUAGUUAGUUGUAUUUUUUGUUAGUUAGAUUGACGCCCAAAGCUGAUUGUAUAUAAGUUGAAACACAUGUAUUAAUCAUUUCAUUCUUUCAAUGAGAUUCAUUCAGUCCAUUUGAUCAAUUGUUGCUUUCUCUACAACCUUUUGAUUCUUUUUGGGUUCGUUCAUGUUCAUCAUGAAUUUUGUGAAACAUAAUGCAUUAAAUAUGAUAAUGAUUGCAUUAAUGAUAAAAUAUUCUUGAUUAUAAAAAAUGAGGUUGUUGAAUUCCAUUUUUUACUUGGUGUCAAUUAGAUCAACCCUUUUGUUAUUUGCUGAAAUUUUUCAGUAAAAAAAACAAAAAUAAAGCCCAACCCGGGACUCACUCUCUUUCAUUCAGCGCUUAAGCCUGAAGAAAAUCACUGCGUAAUGUGUUGUGUGAAGAAUGAAAAUAUAGCUCAAUUUUUAUGCUAAUGCAUUUUAAAAUCAUAAACGAGUUUGUUUAGUUCCACAUUUUUUUAUAAGAUUUCCCUAAAUUCAGUUUAUUCUUAAUUUCCGACUUCCUACAAGAAGCCAAUCAAAAUUGAACUACAAAAUUUACAGUAUAAGUUUUUAAACUAUAAGAAUCUAUUUAAUUUUUUUAAUGAUGCAUGAACAUGUAGAUUAACUUACCUUUUUUUUUUGGCGUAUUCUACAUUGAAGCAAUGUUAUAAUGAUAUAUAUGACCAUGGGGUUUGUAGGCCAUAGGGUAUCCUCGAGGAAGUGCCAAGGGUACCUUUGUAUAAUAUAUUAAUGAGUAGUGAACAAAACUUGAUAUCAAAAGUGCAUCAAGGAACACAAACAUUUAGGAGAUCUGAGAGACCCUUUUUAGAUUGUCGUGGUUCUCAAUAAACUUUUUCAUAGAAAAAUAAGGGAGGGUUUCCACUGUCCACUGAGCUGCAAAGUACAAAUACAACCGCCCUAUGCUUUUUAAUCCAAUUUCUUGCGGAAACCACGUCAACUAUGUUGUAAUACUAGUACAAUUGUUGUUUGGUUUUAAAAGUGCUUAUCUGCAAGUUUGAGAUGAUACUUGAUCUUGAAACUAUUAAUCAAAUUAAUGACAUGUGGAGAUGAAUUAAUUUCCAAUACGAGAGAAAAGGAAACAAAACUAUCACGGCUCUUUAUUUAGAAAAAUCCCUCUAAGCUCCUUGUCAUUAAAUUAAAUAUUUAAUGCGAUUAACGUAAUUAAUAGAACCCACCAAAACUAUAAAAUUCAGGUCAUAGAACCAUAUUUGUGAAAGUUGGAAGACAUGACAUCAAUUAUAUACCAAAUCCCGCUGUCCACUGCUACCAACAAUUUCCUGGUUAUUCGGGUCAAUGCAAAAAUUUGAAUUAAUUUUAGUUAAUCUAUGCAAACAAGGACGGGAUUCAAAUUCUCUAUCAAAGGAUUAAGUGUGUAUUUAAAUGAAUAUUCACAUAAUUAAUUUUAAAUAAAAUAAAUUUUAAUUAGAAUUGAUUUAAAAACCAACAUGUGAAAAAUUAUUUAAAAUUAAUUUUAAACUCAAAUUUAAUUCCAUAACGUUAAAUCAAGCAUACACCAAUAUCUUAUAUAACUUAUAGCUCCUCACACGAGAAAUAAGAAAUGGACAAAAAUGAGAAUGGGGACUAAUGCCUAAAAUUUAAUGCCAUGGACCCCAAAUAUACGUGAAAGUUGAAUGAUUGGACAUUUUUGCAGGCAAGAAGUAGUGAGCGAGAGCGACGUGAGAAUACAAACAGUCCCUUCUGUGCCGUUUCAUGACUACGAACAAAAUGCUUGAUCAAAUCAGAAAUCCCAGCUAUUUCCAUUUUCUUCUUUACUUUAGCACAUUGUCAUAGAUGCACUACUAAGUUAUUUGAUAAACAACAAACACAUAACAGUGAUUGUUAGGGUCACUCUAUUUUUCGUAGUCACAAUAUUGCUAAUAUUGAGAUAGCAACUAAGAUGAAAAUUAUCCCUACCAAAAUUUGUAACUAACACAAUAUGGCAACAUUACAUGUUAAGCUGCAGUUCAUUAAAACAAUUUGGAAGAGCAUACUUUUUUUAAAUCGCCAAAAUGUUAAUUGGUAAUUUUUUUGUUAGAGGAGAAGUCGAAUAUGUGACAUUUCAACACUAAACAUAAACAAAACUUCUUGUUAGGCAGAAAUUUGUCUUUAAAAAUAUAGAAUGUCCCCAUACUUUGAUGCAAUCGGAAAGUAUGAAAUAAUUUAAAAAUUUAAAUUCUAAUAAUUGUACAAUCAAAUUUGAUUUCAGUCAAAAAGAUAGAUAAAUGUAGAUACACAACAACAAUCGGUGCACGUGGCUUGUAAAGUUGGUUUCUUCCAUUAACUCUAUUUGUUACACACCGCAUUAAUUAACAUCUUCAGACCCACUUAGGUAGUAGAAUUAAACCGAAACAAAGUGGGUGAUCCCUUUUUGAAGCAGAGGUAAUGUACAGAGGAAUGCUGCUACUCUAAGGCUUUUUUUUUUUUUUUUUUUCUUUCUAAGACAAAAAUGUAUUCCAAAAAUCUUCUUUUCUGAGUUCUGACCAAUGCAGAAUUCAUUCACCUCCUUCAAGCUGCUUUUUGUACAGCGGUCUUAAAUAAGAGGAUGUAUAAUUUUUGAUCCAUGGAGAAAUAUAGAAACCCUCCAACAGAAUGGGUCACAAAAGACCCAAAACUAGUCCCCACAAUACAGUGCCAUGCCGGUCCAUACACCCCAUCAAAUUCCUGCAAAAUCACAACCACCCAACCGAAUUCCAUUGACCAACCAAUCAAACCACAGAGACAAAAUUUUGAAUCACCAAAUGGGUUGAUAUCAAUUUAGUCCCCAAAUUUUUAAGAACUGACUAAAUCAAUAAUUAUGCCUCACCCAAACUUACUAGUAAGUCCCAACACAAGAACAAAUUAAUUAAUUAAUCUAGCAAAUUUUUUAAAAAAUCAAUUCAAUAAUAAUAAUAAUACAAUACAAUGAUUAUUACAAAAUUGUACCUUCUUGAGGGAGAGUGCAAGGGUUUUGGAUGUGAACUUCUCCAUGCUAUCUAUGGCCUUUCUAGCACAAUCCACAGCAUGGAUCUGCAUAAAGGGUGGCAUAUCAACCGAAACCAUUUUGGCACCAUUGAUUGCAAAGACAUCUCUUAAAUUAGCCUGUGUUCCACAGAAGGAUCUCCUUCUACCCCCACCCGGAGCCAAAGACGACACGGACAUUCUCUCAGCAGCAGCAACAACAACAACAUCAUGUUUCUCCAAAUGAGGAUUCCUAGGUUUUCCUUUUACAACCUUAGCAUCCUCGACCAUGCCCUUAUCAUUAUGAUCACCAAGUUCCCUCCUUUCCAAUUUCAAACAGUGCCUUUGGGGCUUCUCUUUGUGGGUUCUCUUCACAGGCACAGUAACAGAACUCUCUUUCUCUUGUAUGGCUUUGGCCUGCAAAUGGGUGUCAAUAAGAGGAGAGUGUUUUUGGGGUGGACGGGUUUUGUGGGGUUGACUCAAGUUUAGGUUUGUCAAGUGUUUUACUAAGAAAGAGGGUUUAUAGGUUUGGAUGAGAUCUGGGUUUGGGGUUGUAGGGUUAGAUUCUGGAGCUGCUAGAUUCCGACGCUGUAAGGGGUAGUGUGCCAUGAUAGAACGGUAUUGGAAAAUGGAGAAGGUGGAAACUGGAAAAAUGGACAGUGACUUUUUUUUUUCUCCUGCGGUUUGGUUUUGUUUUGUUUGUCGGAGAAAAGAUAAUCAGAUACAGAUAGUGAGAUAGAUAGAUGGGAUUUGUAAUGUAGAGUUGUGUUGUAUUGUUAUAUGUAUUGUAGUAGUUCGAGGGAAAGUAAUAACUUGUGUUUGAGUAGAAGAUUGUAAAUAAAUUAUUAUUUUUGUCUUUAAUUUUAAUUUAUUUUUAUUUGUUGGAUUUACUUGUAUGCAGGAUUGCAUUUUCAAUUUAAAUUCAAAUCCACGCUUAAACCGAAGAUAACAAAGGUGGAGGUGGUGGUCAACUUAUGUCUUCAUUACAACUUAUACUGUGCACUAGAUGGGGACUUGUGUGGUGAGAUAAAACAAUAGUGGUAAUGAAUUCACUAAAAUCUGAGUCAUAUUUUUCAACAUAGUUUCUUGUAAAGAAAAAUUAUUUGACAAACUCCAUAAAUCUUUUAUAUCAUAUGAUUAAAAAAAAUGAUGUUUAAUUCCCUCACGCACCAUGGGGACAGUGGGACCGGGGAUGGGGAGUUGUUGACCGUUGACCGGAUACUCUUACGUUACGUAUGAGAAUGGGUAUUGGGCACAGGUUUGUAAUAGUAGGGUAGGGUAGGUAAGGGCCAUGGGUACAGAAUAGAUUAUUAUUGGGAUUACUGUUGAUUGGUAUUUUGAAGUUUUUCAGAAAAUGGUUUUAUUGCUGUUGUUGCAUUGUUAAAUAUGAUGUUUAAAAUUUUGUAGGGUUGUGUAAAGGAAGGCUAAGGCUUGUGUAUUCAAAUGUUUCAUUGUAAUCGUGUUUCUAGAUUCCUAGUCAUAUCAUAGCACACAUGUGGGCGAUGAUGGAGUCGUAAUUGUUGUUCGGUCUUUGUUAGUUAAAGGCCAAUGGGGAAGGAAAAUGCUGCCAUGAUGGACGCUUUACAUGUCAUUAAUUGGAAGGACAAUUUGCUUUCCCCUUUUAAUCUAACAACGUUCAUGUACACAUUAAUUACUAAAAUUUAUUAUUCUUUGAACAUUUAUAUCAUUGGCUCAUCUAAAAUUUAAAAGCAAAGAGUUAUUUAAAAUGCUAUCUAAGCUUAAAGUACUUUCCAAGCUUAAUUUAUUUUAAAUUAACAAUAAAUAAAUUGAUAAUUUUUUAUUUUACAAGAGUUGAAUUUUAUUAGAAGUAUUUUAAUUGAAAGAUUGAAAAGUUAACUUACUGAGUUAUACUGUUCAGUAAUGUGCAAUGCUAUAAGAAUAUAUAUAUAUAUAUAUAUAUAUAUAUAUAUAUAUAUAUAUAUAUAUAUAUAUAUAUAUAUAUGAUUCUCUAUACAUUUUUUUAAUUUGUGAAUAAAAUAUCUUUAUUAAAAAAAUUUAUAAAUAUUGUAAUAUUAAAUAAAAAAUGUUGAAAUAAUAGUAUAAUGUUUAUUGGGAAAAUAUAUAAAAUUUUAUUAUUAGUAAUAAGUUCAAAUGAAAUUUUAAAUAUAACAAGAACAAAAAUCUUAUCUUAUCUUUUUUUUUUUUUUAUAAAAAAAGAACAAAAGUCUUAUGGUAGUAGGUGACGUUAAUAACUAUAUUAAUCAUACAAUGCUAUUAGACUCGCUUAAAGAUUAAAAUUUAAAGAUAUUAUUUAUCAUAAAAAUUAUUUCUUUCAAAUAAUAAUUUUAAAUUUUUUAAAAUGUAUUAAAAUAUAUAAAUAAGUUAGUCAAACAUAUCAUCAAUCACGAUGACAUCAAUAUUUUUUUUUGUCUAAUUUUGGUUGACAGGCUAAACACAGAUUAAAAUUGCUUAAUUUUUAAAACGUUGUAAACAAAAAGGUUUAAUUCACAUUGAUGUGAUGAUUAACAUCGAGUGCUUUGAAAAUAAAAGAUGUUAUAAAAUAAUAUUGAAAUAACGUUUACUGUUCAGUAUAGUGUGGACAAAUAGAGCAGAACCUUUUAUACUAAUUCAAUUCCCCAUCACAUUUCUCCUUUUCAAAUUUCUCAAACUACAUCUAUGAAUGUUCUGACAAUGGAAGAACGGAAAUGCAUAACAAUUUAUUCUUUAAGUUGAAAUUUUAGUUCGAUAUCAAAUAAUAAGAGAGAAGCAUCAUGGAAGAUCUUUAUGAUUGUAUCCUUGACAUUAGCAAAGGACUUGUUUCUUUGAGUUAAAACUCUUAAUAAAUGCAUAACGUACACUCAUCAUAUUUCACGUCUUAAAUUAAUUGCUUUAAAUUUUGAAUUAUUAAUAGGAUACUAGUAGUAUACUCAUAAAGGAUCAGAAUUCGUUCAAUUAUAUCAGGAAAAAAUAGUUCAAAAGUAUAGAUGUAAUAUUUUCGUAAAUACACUAGCCCGUGAUCAUAUAAAGUAAUAAACCUGAAUCAGUGACAUUUGGUAAGAAACUAAAAAAGAAGACAAACCAUAUUUGACUUUUCCUUCGCUCGAUCUUGAUGAUAGAAGAUUUCAGCAGUCAUAUAAUAUCAAACAUUGUAUUGCACGUUGAAAUUUAGAGACUGAUGGACACUUUAGUAUCAAAUACAUUUUUUUAGCUUCAUAAGUCAAUAUGUUAUUAUUAAGUGAUUCUUAUGGAUUGGUCGAAGUGAAUAACCUAACUUAGGCUAAAAUUUAUUACAGUCCCGCUAUUAUUUCCUGUUGUCACGUCCCAUUACAUCUUGGAAACUCAAUACCCCAAGUUAAGAUGAACUAGAGCCCAACUUUAAACACGUGUUUAGAAAAUUUUUGGUCCCAUUUCAUUUCUUCUGCAAAAUAAUGGAAUUGCUAUUCUUACUCAUAAAUUUGAGAUUCACACUUCUCACGUGGCUUUAGAUUUUGUUUUGAGAAUAUACUAUUUUCACUUAAAUAAAAUUUCAGUGAGAAAUACAAAAAAGGAAAUAUGUUUUCGUUAGAUAAGAAAUAAUAAAAACUCACUACCGAUAAAUACAAUAUGUCUUUUGUUAAGAAUAAAAAAUAUUUAAUAUCCUUUUUGGGAUAAAUUUAACGUCUCAAAUUAAAAAGAAGUGUGGAAAUUUGUAUCCCAAGACAGAAUAGGAAUUAAAUCAAACUUCUUAAAACCAAAUUAAAUAGUAAUAACAUGGUAUAAUGGUGGUAUCGCACGGUUUCAAGCUGGAUGGAAUUGGAAAGUGGAAAGUUAUGUACCGAAAAAAAGCUGAAUGGAAAGUGACCUGAAAAUGUUGCAGGAAAAUAGUGCACUUGAGAUUCAUCAACAUCAACAUCACCACGCCAACGAGCCCUUCUUGCUUAGCUAAUCCAUCAACGACUACGCCACGUUUAAUGCUACCAUCAAUUUCAAAUUUUCAAAUUCAUCAUCACAUACAUCACUCCCCAUUGCAACAAAAUGCCAUCAACAACAAACACGACGUCGUCACGGUCACCACCGCCAACCUGAAACCAAUUUCUGAAGCCAAAACUAGAGAUGAAAAGAGGGAACAAUUUGGUCGCAUUGAGCAGACAACGAUCCAUUCAGAUUCUCAUCGCCAUUGCGUUCUUGUACGUCCUCUUCUUCACCCUCGAAAUCCCCCUCGUCUUCAGAAUCGCCCAAAAACAACGACCCACUCACACCCGCCGUCAACUCGUUCGCCGCCAAAACGGCGUCGUCUCCGCCUUGAUCCUAAACGACGCCGCGUUCGAUUCGGAGCUCUACCAAUCCUCCUGCCGCGCCGGAAAAGCCAUCUGGGAAGAACUAAAACUAAAAUCACGGAGCCCGCGAGGCCUCAUUUCUAAGCCCGAGAACCGAUCUGGGCCGUGCCCGGGAUCCGUCUCCGUGUCCGGGCCCGAGUUUCUGGGCCGCGGGAGUUUGAUGAUGAUUCCGUGUGGGCUUACGUUGGGUUCCCACGUAACGGUGGUUGGGAAGCCGUCAAGGGUGCAACGGAAGACGUGUCAGUUCGUGAUGGAGUUGCUGGGGCUGAAGACGGUGGAGGGUGAGGAACCGCCCAGGGUGCUACAUUUCAACCCUAGGUUGAAAGGGGAUUGGAGUUGGAAGCCCGUGAUUGAACUCAACACGUGUUACCGCAUGCAUUGGGGUACUGCCUUGCGAUGUGAUGGUUGGAAAUCCAGAGCUGGUGAAGAUACUGGUAAGAAAAAUUAUGUUUAUAUUCACUAUGGUUGUGAUGUAUGAAGCAAAUUCGAUACCGAUACCUUUUGGAUACUUCAGCUAUUUGUGAAGUAUCCAAGCCUUAAAAAAGUUAUGGAAAUCCAAUACGAAUAUAAUAUAGAACCAUAGAAGCACUAAAGAUGGAAAUUGUUGAUUACAAGAAAGGAGUGAGAUUGAUACUACUCCUACUUAUAGACAAUAGGAACUGAUUUAUAAUCACAAUAAUAGUAGAUAUAAGGUGGGUUACAUGAUUAAGGGAGAAGGGGGGAGAGAAAAGGUCACGGGUUCAAUCUUCUCGGCUAACAAACUAACAUUUAUCAAUAAAAAAAAUCACAAUGAUUUAUAAUUUUUAUUUGUUUUUCACAAUGUCCAAGAAGUAUGAUCUUAAUUUGAAUUUGCAAAAUUGCAAUUAUAUAUUUUUUUAUACAUAUUCAGAUAUAUCUUGUAUGUGUCAUGUGCUAUAUGUUUUUUUGAGAAUAAUUGUAUCGUUGUUGUAUUGUAUCUGAUACACUUAUAGCAUCCAUGCAUCAUAAGUUAUGAUCGGGAUGAAUUAAGUUGUUGCUUGUGUUUGAUACAGUUGAUGGGUUGUUGAAGUGUGAGAAGUGGAUUAGGGGUGAUGAAGAUAAUAGGGAUGCAGUGGAGACCAAGGCAGCGUGGUGGUUGAAGAGAUUGAUAGGGCGAACAAAACGAGUAAAUGUUGACUGGCCAUUUCCAUUUUCUGAGAACAAGCUAUUUAUUCUUACUCUUAGUGCUGGAUUUGAGGGUUUCCAUAUUAAUGUUGAUGGGAGGCAUGUGACCUCUUUUCCUUAUCGCACUGUGGGUAAUCAAUGUUCUUCAACUUAUCAGCUUGAAGAGGGUUCUGCUAUAUAAUAAUGUUAAUGUUUCAAUUUGAACAGGGAUUUACUCUUGAGGAUGCCACUGGUCUUACUUUGAGUGGGGACAUUGAUGUCCAUUCUGUAUUUGCUGCUUCUUUGCCUUCGGUGCAUCCUAAUGUUUCUUCGCAGCAGCAUCUUGAAUUUUCAACCAGAUGGCGUGCGCCAAAUCUUCCUCGCUAUGGUGUGGAAUUGUUUGUAGGGAUCCUUUCAGCUGGAAACCAUUUUGCUGAGCGGAUGGCUGUGAGGAAGUCAUGGAUGCAGCAUAGCUUUAUCAAAUCUUCUAAAGUGGUCACUCGUUUCUUUGUAGCACUGGUAACGCGAACAAGUUUCUCAAUUUUAUUGUUACUUUGUUUGUUGUGUAGGUUUCUUAAUAGUUGAAAGGUUUUAACAGCACCCGAGGAAAGAAAUUAAUGUGGAGUUAAAGAAGGAAGCAGAAUAUUUUGGUGAUAUUGUUAUAGUUCCUUACAUUGAUAACUAUGACCUUGUUGUGUUGAAAACGAUGGCCAUAUGUGAAUAUGGGGUAAGUUGUUGAUUGCUCAAAGAUCUUUCAGUUUGAUAAAGGAAAUAGUUUUAAGUUAAUAUAUGAGAUGUGUUGUGCUGUUCACAGGUUCACACAGUUUCUGCGGAGUAUAUCAUGAAAGGUGAUGAUGACACUUUUGUAAAAAUUGAUGCUGUUAUGAAUCAAGCAAGGAAUGUUCCACGUUCUAUGAGCUUUUAUAUUGGGAACAUUAAUUACCGACACAAACCCUUGCGCUGGGGUAAAUGGGCUGUGACAUAUAAGGUAAUCAGAACCUGUUGGCUGCUGCAAUGCUUUUAUCAUAGUUAAUUAAGCAGUGAGCAUUGUCUGGGAAAAAUAUUUGUGUUGUAAUGUCACUAACAAAGUGUCUAUAUUUGAUCCAAAGAAUGUAUGAUCUGUGCAUGAGCACAGUUUCUUUAGGCACAACUAAGCAAAAGCUCAAUUCAAUAUUAUGAUAUUAAAAUAACUUCAGUACCGACUUGACCUUAACACAUACUUCAUUGUUAUUUUAAUACUUUGCUAGCUUUUGAUUGGUUGUGGUUAUAAGCAUUGCGCGUAUACCAUAAUUAUUCUGUGCAAGAAUUGCUAUUCUUCCCUCUCUGCAACCAGCCAUCAGGUCCCCAUUGUUUAUGGUUAGCACCUAACCUAGUUGCAGGCUUGCAGCACCAUAGUCAGUUGUCCGAAUUUUAUGGGCUGGAGACCACGAUCCCUAACUGAAUUUAACAUUCAGUGAAAUGCUUUAUUAAGUAUUCAGAGCACUUACUUUAAUAGAAUGGGCUGUGAUUGAUUUAACAAAGGCUCUUGCUUCCUUACUGUUGUCACAUCUAACUUCUUGCUGGUGAUAAUUUAUUGUUCUCUUCUGCUUUCAGGAGUGGCCAGAAGAGGAAUACCCACCCUAUGCAAAUGGACCGGGUUAUAUUUUGUCUUCUGAUAUUGCACACUACAUUAUAUCUGAAUUUGAGAUGCAUAAAUUAAGGGUUAGUGUACUACUAUUUCAUUGCUCAUUCUCUCUGUUGUCCUGUAAUGUCUCCCAGUAUCUUGAUGCUGGUGCAUCUGGUGUCCAUAGUGGUUGAAGUUGUCGGCGUUUUCAUCUUUAUGCAGUUGUUUAAGAUGGAAGAUGUGAGUAUGGGAAUGUGGGUAAAGCAAUUUAACAGAUCGAAACCGGUAAACUAUUUGCAUAGCUUCAAGUUCUGCCAAUAUGGUUGUGUAGAAGGCUAUUACACAGCCCAUUACCAAUCGCCUAGGCAGAUGAUAUGCCUGUGGGAUAAAUUGCAGAUGAAGACAACGCCUGAGUGCUGCAACAUGAGAUAACAUUGAGGUAUAGGUUGCCAUUGAAGUAAACAAGUUUUGCAGUCAUAGCUUAGCUUAAAUAUUGUAAAUAUAGUGGAGCUUGGAUAGUUAAAUGUAGCCCUGUAUAAAUGUGGCCCUUUAAAUUUCAUUGUUUAUUUAUUUAUUCAUUUGGAAGGACAAUUCCAUUAUUUAGAUUACUCGAUUUUGUUUCAGCAUGGGAGUGGGAUUGGAAGAUCAACGUGAGGGUGGGCGGGAACUAUGGGUAGGCGUAGGACCAUAGGUAUCGGGAACAUUUUCUUUUUUUGAGGGAGAGCAGGAACAUGUUAAAUAUAGAAGUUCUGUAUUUUUUUUAUAUUUUAUAUCUUAACUCUUUUUGAAAUUUUAUGCUUUAUCUCAUUUUCUAAAAUAUUAGUUUAAUCUGCAGUAAAAAUAAAAAAUAUUACUUUAAUCCUUAUUAUAUCUAUAAAACUGGGUUUUUCAAGUUUAGUGUUACUCGCAAUACCGAGUCCUGCCCCGGGGGUAUUUAUGUAAAACAAUGAAGUCUUGUUAUCUUCAUUAUUUUUAAAAAUAAGCUGUCAAAUAAAAUUAGCAACUAUGUAUUAUAACACAUUAAAAAAAAUUAGAGCCCAAUUAUGCAUGCAAUGAUACAAGUUAAAUGUUUUUUUUUUUGUUUUAAUCAAGACAUUUGAUUCAAGAUAAUUUAGUAAACUAAAGUAGGAAGAAUUAUGUCUGGGUUCACCAAAAACAUCAUAAACACCAGAAUAAAGAGAUUGCUCGUCGAUACAAUUCAGGUCAUUAACUUGUACUGCAUCAUCCACCUGUCCAAAAUUUGAACACAAAAAUAUUAAAAAAUGAAUAAGAACACAAUAGGAUUAUACUCCAACUGUAUCUUUCAUCUCCUUCCAACUGAGUAAAAUUGAUACUCCAAACAUCUCAAAUUAAACAGCAACGUUUAGGGAGUAAGCCAACGAAGUUGAAGAAGAUUCCAUAUACCAACCAAAUAAACUCACGAGAGGAACAAGUUGAUAUACAUAUUUUAUAUGAAGAAGUAGGUAACAAAAACGCGAGAGCAACAAAUCAACAAAGCAGAUCCAUUGGCUGAAGUAAUACAUAUGUAAGGAGAACGAAGUCUCAGAUAAUAUAAUAUAGAAGAUAAUGUAAUUUGAUAAGAUGGAUCAAAACCAAUUACAAGACUAGGAAAAUGCAUCAAAGCUCAUCUUCCAUCCUCAAGUACUCUCCCACAUCGGCCUGGUGCAGAACAACAAUCCCGUUGGGAUCCAGCUUCCUACAAUCCAGCGUGGACUUGGCGGCGACACCGAAACCCAACGGCACGUCGGCCAUGGAGAAGACGACAACCCCGUCACCGGCAGCGAUGUUUUCGGAGAGUUUCCCGAGAGCGCCCUUCAAGACAUGGUUGCCGUACAAGAAGGACAUCUCGGACUGGGGCUUGAGCCAGACCUUGUGCUUGGCGUUGGCGGCGAGCAAGUUGAGGGCCUGGACGGUGAGGUGGAAGCUGCCGCCGUGGGUGUAUUUCCCGAUGCAGGUGCCGAGGGAGACCAGGUUGGGGCGGGCGACGUUGGUGGCGCGCUUCACGAGGGACUCGCUGGCGUAGAAGAUCUUGUUCUUGUGGAGCCGGAAGCAGUAGCGCCCGGGGUUCGAAUCGGGACCUUCGUGCGAGGGGUUCUCCACGAUGUUCUUCAGGUUGUUUCCGACGAACUUGAACAGCUUCUCGAACACUGCGCUCGUCUCCUUCUCGUCCAAGGGUCUCAUCCUUCCUCCUCCUCCUUCUAGGGUUUUACACCGCAAUUAGGGUUUUACAACAGAAAAGGGUGAGUUGAAAACUUUAGAUGAAAAGAGUCGAAAUAAUAGUACUAAGGCCCAAGUCUAAGAAAUACGGGCCUCGUGAGCACAAGCCCACUAUAAAACAAUUCGGCAGGAGCUGGGCACUUGCUAUUUACAUUUCCCCGUUUAUCUAAGUACACCCCCAUGCCUCCUUUCUGCCUCUUAAAUAUCCAUUAUACCCUUUUUCUUAUUUUCUCUUCUUUCACGCAUAUUCUUUUUGGAAACGUUGUCCCGUAGUUCCGGUGACGACGUUCCUUGGAUCUUCUCACUCGCAGGGACAUGUAUGUGAGCAAAUAUAAUUUUCCACGUGCUAGAAACUUGAAACAGGAUUCUGAAUUGAAUUGGAAACUUGAAAGUGUGGCGGCAGGUAUGAGGCAUCACAUGGGCAUUACUGUGGAGUGUGAAGAGAUUCUGCUGAACUGUAAAAUUGACAUUGUUAGGGACAUAUCACACAUAGAACAGCAAUUAAUGUUCAAUUUGAUUUUUUUUCUUUCCGCCAAAUAAAUAUUCUCUUCAGUCUUUUUUCAUUUAAUUUAAAAUAUUUUUUCUACACAGUUAAUGAAAGCAGCAGAUUUCUUCACCCUCAAGAAAAUUACCGUUACUGAGUUACAUUAUCUAAUUUUCUUUCUUAAAUUACAAGUUAAGGCUUAUAUUGGAUUCACUAUUAGAUGUCCUGGAAUGUUGUCGAUAAUAUUCAACAGAAUCCUACUCUCUUUAAAUCCAACUUUAAUAUUUGUAUUUUCUCUGGGCUAAUUAAUUACCACCCUGUUUUGUUUUGUUUUGUAUUAUUAUUAUUAUUAUUAUUAUUAUUAUUAUUACAGUAUAUGCCGCUAAAUCUAAAAUGUAAGGCAUCUUUGUAUUGCCGUUGGAUUUGCGACUCUGUGAAUCCAAUGCUUCUUCACCGCAAAAGUAAUAAAGGGAAUGCUUUUAGAGGGUUAAUUACAGAAAUAGGUCCUUUUCUAAAUUUUUUUUAUCAUCAUGGGAAUUUUUUAAAAAAAAUUACAAAAAUAGAUAAUUUUUUUUAAUAAAAUUACGGAAAUGGGUAAAUGAUAUACGAUUUCAUAAAAUAUGAUUUCACUUUUUAAUCGUUUAAAAUAUCUUUUUCUCUAAGAAACUAGAAUUGUAUGUUAAACUACAAUUUCAAUUUUUUUUUACUGAAAUCGUAUGUUGAAAGACGAUCUCAACUUUUUUAUUUUUUUAUUUUUUCUAAAAAAUUAAAAAAAAGGAUUUCAAAAUUUUUCUACGGAAAUUAUAUCUUGAAAUAUGAUUUCAAUUUUAUUUUAUUUUUUCUAAAAUAAUUAAAGAAAACAAAAACAUGUUGAAAUCAUGCCUUAAUACAUAAUUUCAACUUUUAAUAAUAAAAAAACUGAAAUCAUAUGAAAAUAUACGAUUUUAUUGUAAAUGUUUUCUGUAAAGUAAAAUCGUGUUUUGAAGCAUGUUUUUGUCAAAGCUUAGUUUACUCAUUUUGGUAUUUUUUUUAAAAAAUUAUUCGUUUUUGUAAUUUUUUAAAAAAGAUACACCAUAAUGCUGCAAGAGCCGCUUUUAGAAAUAUAUGUUAGUGUUGCCUAUUCAACAAUUCAAACAUGUGCAUAAUAGAAGCUAUUUAAGUUAAACCCUCCACUAUUACGUGCAUAUUUGAAUAAUUAUUUAAGAAGUACAUAUACGUGUUAUUUUUUUAGGAAAGAUACUCUAUAUUUUUGUGCUGAAAAUAUUUUUAAAAGGGGCAGAAAUCCAUACUAUACUUGAGUGGAUUAACUCGUUUUGUUUUUGAAGUGAAAACUUAUUCGACCGGGGAAAUAGAAUACGAUUCUGACUUGUGAUUUUUUUUUUCUUUUUGUUUUAUUAAUAGAGAUUGAAGAGAGAAAAAAUAAGUUUAUAAUACUCACACAUUAUACUUAAUUAACUAAACUAAAUUUUCUUAGUAAAUUCUUUUCUUUUUAAUAAGGAGUGUUUCUAAUAUUUUAUUUAGGAGUAUUUAUGGGUGGAUUUAUCCAUAACCCAACCUAAUUAUACUAUGAUUUGAAUUUUAAAAAUACUUAAAAUACAUCUAAUUCAACUUAAUAUAAAUCUAAUUAUAUUGGAUUGGAUAAUUAAUCCGGAGUUCAACUUUGACCAGAUCAUAUAAUAAUAAAAAAUUUAAAAAUAUUAAUGUUAUUAAUAAGAAUAUAAUAAAGUAAAAAAUAAAAAGAUUUCUUUAUGCAAUAAAUUUAUAUAUUCUAUGUAAUUAUAUUGUAUAAUUUAAAGAAAAUUAUUUUUAAAAAAUCCUUCUUUGUGAAAUUUUUAGUUUUUAAAUUUUAUGUUCCAAUUGAUCCUACGGAUCAUAAUCGGAUUGGGUUAAAUUGAGUUAAACAACAAAAUUACUAGAAUGUGACUCAAUCCAAUCUGAGAUUUUUUAAUUGAAUUGGAUGAUAGAUUUUUUCAAAUCUAAUUUGACCCACCUAACUUAUCAGACCGGAUGUACAUAUGUGGCGAGAAAGAGGAAACGUAAGUACGAAAAGAAUUACUCCAGAGUCACUAAUUUGAUGACCUCAAGGUUCUUUGCAUCAUUAUAAUAAUAAGUGAAUACUCCGUCACACAUUUUAGACCCAGGUUAAACAAUGAAUGUAAUUUUAUAAUAAUCGCAGUGGAAAAUAGUAAAACUGGAUAAGAAACAAACAUCUAACAUGGAUCUAAUUUGGAAAAACAUUAGUGAGGUAACUUUAUUAACUUGAAAUAUGCUUGUAAUUGUGUUAUGUUUCAACAACUUGAGGAAAAUGACAAGAAACUGCAUCAAACAAUGAGAAAGAGACACAACACACAAGUACUUGGAAAUUUUAAGUAUAGUGAGCAUGAGAAGGACCCCAUUAUGCGUAUGUUGAGAAGCCCGUCAUCUCCAUUGACAGGCAAGUAGCAACUUCAAUAGAGCGUUUAAUUUUCACUAGUCAUGCGCAAAAACACCCUUUCAUAGAUAGGGGGCCACAUUUUUUUUUGUUAUGUAUUUGCUAAGUGAGUAAUGAUAUAUAAACGAUCUUUUACUUUUUGGUUUAGAUUAUAUAUAUUUUUCAUUGGAUAUAAUAUUGUUUGAGUCAAGUAAUACUAUUAUGCAUAAUAAAAAAAUUUCUUCAAAUAUUUAAAACAACUAUACACAAUUGUACAAGAUUCAAAUUACCUUUUAUUUUAAAUGUCCUACUAACACUUCUUAUUUAUUUAUAUCUCUAUCAUUCUAUUACAUCUAAAUCAUAUUAUACCUAUCAUUUUUUUCUCUUUUUUUACUUUCUCUUUUUAAGUGUUAGAUAACACAUUGAAUUUGAUGUGUAUCAAACGUUUUCUUUUGCUCAGUUCCAGUCUUUCGGAGCCUUUUCUUUGCCUUGCAGUGUCCAAUGAGACACAACAUACCGUGAAUCAGCUAAUAAUUUUUAGGCUCUUGGACCACCUUCCACAUAGUCCCACCAAAUCAAAAAACACUUAGUGGAACCAAAUAUUCUAUCUCACUUGUCCUUUUCCCAUUUUAAUAAUACUCCACACCGCCUUCGGUAGUGUCAUUUGACUCAUUUUGGUUAUAAACACUGUCCAUUCUCCUCUUUCUCAAUUCUCAAAUAUCAAUUCUCAUCCCUACCCACUCACUAUCUCACACUGCUUUUUUAGUGUUUUUUUUUCUUCUUUUCCCUUGGUUUUUGAUAACACACUCACCCCACAAAAGAGUUGAUCAAAAUAUACCACCAUGAAGAUGAGUGAGAUGUGGGCAACAAUGGGGUCAACCUUAGCCAGCUUCAUGUUCUUGUGGACGAUCAUGAGGCAGUACUGUCCCUACGGUGUUCAACGUUUCUUCGAGAAGUACACACACAGGAUCAUGAGUUACUUCUACCCCUACAUUAGAAUCUCCUUUCAUGAGUACAUGGGAGACAGGUUGAAGCGAAGUGAGGCCUAUGCAGCUGUGGAGGCAUACCUCAGUGCCAACACAUCAAAGAGUGCCAAAAGGCUCAAAGCUGAAAUGGGAAAAGAUAGCAGCAACUUGGUUUUGACCAUGGAUGAAUACGAAAGAGUAACAGAUGAUUAUGAUGGUGUGAAAGUUUGGUGGGUCUCUAACAAAGUUAUGUCACCAACAAGGUCCCCAAUGUCUUAUUAUCCAGAACAGGAGAAAAGGUUCUACAAGCUCACUUUUCACAGCAAGAAUAGGGACACAAUAACAGAGUCCUAUUUGAAGCAUGUGAUGAGGGAAGGGAAGGAGAUUCGUUUGAGGAACAGGCAGAGGAAGUUGUAUACUAAUAGUCCCGGCUACAAGUGGCCAAGUUACAAGCAAACGAUGUGGAGCCACAUUGUGUUUGAGCACCCUGCAACUUUUGACACAAUGGCCAUGGAGCCUGAGAAGAAAAAAGAGAUCAUUGAGGAUUUGGUCACUUUCAGCAAGAGCAAGGAUUUCUAUGCAAGAAUUGGGAAGGCUUGGAAGAGGGGUUACCUUCUCUACGGCCCUCCAGGGACCGGAAAGUCCACGAUGAUCGCGGCUAUGGCGAAUUUGCUGGCCUAUGAUGUCUAUGACUUGGAGCUGACAGCAGUGAAGGACAACACCGAGCUGAGGAAGCUUCUGAUUGAGACAACAAGUAAGUCCAUAAUUGUAAUUGAGGACAUUGAUUGCUCUCUUGAUCUUACAGGGCAGAGGAAGAAGAAGGGCGAUAAGUCCUCGUGGGACGAGGACGAGGCCGAGAAGGAUGUUAUUGGAAGGAAAGAGGCCAAGGAGGAAGGAGGGAGUAGUGGCUGCAGCAAAGUCACACUCUCAGGGCUUUUGAAUUUCAUUGAUGGGAUUUGGUCUGCUUGUGGAGGGGAGAGGUUGAUUGUGUUCACAACCAAUUAUGUGGAGAAGCUUGAUCCUGCUCUCAUUAGAAGGGGGAGAAUGGACAAGCAUAUUCAGCUCUCUUAUUGCACCUUUGAUGGCUUUAAAGUUCUCGCGAAUAACUACUUGAAGCUUGAGACUCAUCCAUUGUUUGACACCAUUGAGAGCCUUAUUGGGGAGGUUAAGAUCACCCCAGCUGAUGUUGCUGAAAACCUUAUGCCUAAGUCUCCACUGGAUGAUCCUCACAAGUGUCUCUCAAACUUGAUUGAAGCACUUGAGGAAGCUGCAAAAGCAGAGGAGAUGAAGCAGAGGAGUAGUCACAUUAAGGAGGAGCUUCUUCAACAAAAUGGGUCCAUUAAGGAAAAUGGUGAGCUUCAUGGUGACAAAGCAAUGAAUCAGUGCCAGAUCUGGCUCGUUAAUGAUACAUAAUGUUUGUGUACACUAUUAUGAAUCUAUGUUAGUCAACUCCAUGAGAUGAUUAAAAAAGGGAGGGGUUAUCUACUUCAAAACGCUCUCUGGUUUUUGGUUCAGAUUGUAAUUUAGCGUCUGAAAUCUUUGGUACCCAACUAAAUCCUCCUACUUUUGGAAUUAAUUUUGAACUUGUAUUAGAGAGUUGAUGAAAUUUAUUGUUAUUGGGAUAGGUCCCUCCCUAAUUGUUCUUUUUUCCCUUGAAACAAUUUGCUGUUGUGGCUCCAAAAUUGCGACAUAAAUAUAAUAUUAAUGUUUCUGUUGCACGCCGUAUAAACAAAACUUAGUUUCAUCAUGUUUUGUAUGAACAUAACGGAACCUUAUGUUAUGUGGGUUAUUGCUGAAUUUUGUUUCUGUUAGGCUCGGAUGUAAACCUUAGGAACCAUGAUUGAGAGAAAAACAGAGAGAAGAGAGCUCAAGUUAACGUGGAAGAAGGAAUAUUAGUGUCGCUUGUAAACGGAAAAGCACCUUUUUCUUCUUCUUCUUCUAUGCUUAAAGUGAAAAAUAAGGAAAAUGUAAUUUAUAAAAAUUAAAGUUUAAUGUAAAAAUUAAAAAUAAUUAAUAAUUCAAAUUUUCAAAGUAAAUUAUAUCAAAUAAGGUGAAACAAAAAUAAAGAGUACAAUAUAAAAAUAUUCCCACUCUGAAAAAUAAAGAUCUAGGAAUAUAUUCAAAAGACAAGUAUAAGAAUCCUAAAAAUAACUUGUAUGGUCAUUUCACAGUUCUCAUUUCGAUUUUGUUUUUAUCUAGUAUUAGAUUCCCUCGUGAAUUGAAGUGUGUAAAGCGAUUGUUAACCAACAAAUUUCUAAUACAUGUAAUAUUUAUAUAACCAUUCCAACAGUGUCCUAGAAAAAUAGUAUCUUAGGUAAAAACAACACACGCAUUGCCAUUUAAAAGAAAGAAUUUAUAUUAGACUUGGGUACUUACAAUAAUCUGUUAAGAAAAUAUAGCAUCACGUUGUUGUUGAUUGUGUAUUAAAAUUGAAAGCGACCUAUAAGAACAUUUGAAUCUAAUAAAAAUUUAUCAUUAGAAUAAUCAAUUUAAAACAUUGAGUUUAAUUUUGAUAUAUUGUUGUUGUGAUGAUUUUUAUAUUUUUAAUAAAUUAGAAAUUAAUUUAAAUAUAACUUUUAACAUAAUUAGUAUAAAAGUUAAUAAUAUUACCACUAUCAUAAUUUAUGCUUUGAUGAUGUUAUGUUUCAUGUAUAGUUAAUUUUGACUGAACUCUGCAAAUAUUUUGUUGAUCGAGAUUUAAAAUACAUCGAUGGUGACAUUUCACUUUGAUGUGAUUGGGAUGUGGUGAAUACCAUAAAUCCCUGCAAGACACUCUCGAGUACCAGAGUAAUGAUAUC